UGAUGAGGUAAAAAUGAGAGGUAUCGGGGAAAAAGAUAGCACCAAAUUUUAAGCUUUGUCAAAAAUAUCCGUGUGCAAGAAGCACUAGAAUGCUCAGAAGCUCAUCAUAAAACAGCUACAGAGCCUAUAGUUAUAGGUGAUUGGCACAUACUAUGGACGGCCAUGGACAGCUCGCCGUGGCAACGCUUGUGGCAAUCACAAAGGGACUCUCUUGUCCCUUUAAUUUCUAGUCUGUAUUCUAAUUGGAGUUACAUCUCAUAUGUGCCAUGCACCUUCAGAAAGCUAAUAUAUAACAAACUGCGAUCCCAUGUCAGAGUGUAUGUCCGGUUGAUUCUGAGCUCAUCUCACCGGCCAGCGUCAGUAGCAGCUUUGAUGUUAAUUAGGCGCUGCAUCCCUAUGCUGUUUUCUCAUUAGCAGCACCACUGCAUAGUGCAAACUCUGUUGCCCAUUGGCUGCAUCCCUAUUCCGUUGCCCAUUGGGACUGUUUUCUCAAUUCCUUUUUGCUUCUCAGCGCUUCCCCAUUGCUACCUCCGUAUAAAAAAAAAUCAAUUCCUAGAAUCAUCUGAAGUUAAACUAUCUUAUGUUUAACCAACUUUAUAGUAAAGAGCAGUAUCAUCUAUGACACCAAUAAAUACAUUAGAACAGUAUAUGUCAUAAGGUACGUAGUGAUAUUUGGUGUCACUAAUUUUAUUGGUUUUCUUUAUAAAUUUGGUCAAAGUUUUUUUUACUUAAGAUAACUAUACAAGUUGAUUUAUUUUAGGACGGAGGUAGUAUAAUGGUAGGUUUCCAUUCAUAGUCCUUUUACAAAAUGAAGCUUCUAUAGUUUCUAAAACAAAGAUUACAAAAAAAGGAUUCUCCCACUCACACGCUUGUUGUAUAUAUGCCAGCACAUCUUAGCCUUUUAAAGUUUGAUUGAUCACAGCAUCGAAGCUUGGUCCCAUGUAAAUUGGUGGCCAAUAUUUCUUUUUUGUCUGAUUAAUACUGUAAUUAUUUACUGAGUAUAUGUUAUUGCCAUGACCCGAUCAUGACAUGUUGCUGAGCAUAAUCAUCAUUGUCAUCAUACGCAUUCAAAUCUCAUAUAAAAAACAGUGCUGAAAUCUGAUUUCAUACUGCUGACUGUUGGUUUGACGGAGGGUCUGCCACCCACAGCGAAGGGUCUAUCACUCCAUCUGCACGGACUAACAAGAGUCCAGUCUCUGUCAGUAUAAAACUUAUAGGUGACGAAGAGUCUGGCGCCAGAACCACCAGAUGGUCCGUCAACCCAUCCUAUGCCGUGAACAUGAGGUGUUACUUUAGGAGUAUCCUUGGCCCACCUGUCAUACCAGCUGUCCAGCUCACGAAAACCCAAACCCCAGAGCCACAGCAGCUCAUCCAUUCACUUUCACACUCCCUCUCUGUCUCUCUAGUUCAUCACUCUCUCUCUCUCUACACUCUCCCACACCAAAGAAACAAGGAGAAGGAAGAGAAAGGAAAGGAAGGGAGAUGGGAGGCUGCUGCAGCUGAAGAUGAAGAUGGAGAUCACCUAGAGGCAGCCAUCCAGAAGAGGUAGGGAUUAGAAGGGGAAGGAGACCUCUCACCAUCACAAUUUGGAGGAGUUAAACAAUGGAGCAAGAAGUCGAGUCAUCAACGGGAUAUCCAUCACUUUGGGAAGCUUACAAUCUUCUUUUGCAGCCCUUGGUAUGAAGCAAUUCAAGCUAAACCCUAGUUUCACUUCUUAUGAGCACAAAACCUAGGAAAUAUCUAUUUGAGACCCAAUCUUGUUUGCACGCAAUGUAGCUUCAACUACCUGGUUAGAUAUGCUCUAGAGUAUGCUAGGAAGCUACCCUAAAGAUAGAUUUCACAUGCAAGCUUUUGUAGACUAAGUUUUAGAUUUUGAGUUGGUAGAAAUAUGCACUGACAGAGAGUCCACCCUGACGGAGGGUCCAUUACUACUACUGCAACCCGACUGCUUUACAGUUAAAUUGAACAUUUUAUAAUUCUAUGGAGAGUCUGCCAUCUUUGAUGGUGGGGUCCGUGGAGUUAUAUUCCCAAGACUGAGAGCCUUAGACUACAGAAUUUUCUUAAUGGAGUGUCCGUGGAUAGCCACAGAGUGUCCGCUGAUUUAUAGCCAUGAAUUUUAGAGAGACAACCCGAGAGCAGCCAGUUUGUGGUGAGGCUCUGUCCUUUGUGGCAGAACCUUCCGCUGAAACAUGAACACUUAGAAGACUAAGUACCCUACAUACUUGUUUUGACGGACAAUCCACCACCAUGACGGAAUAUUCUGUUACCACUAUACCAGAGAGCACAAUUCUUCCAAGGCCACAGAAUUCCUGUACCGGAACGUCUGUGAAUUCUCACAAAGAGUCUGUUGAAUUAUAAAAUAGCAAUCCCAAAGUGACUAUCCAAGUGUUGCGGAGUGUCAGUGCCUUGUCACAGAGGAUCCGAUAGCCCCAGCUAAGUACCCAUGUUUGCGGACUGUUCGACUCAUAUCAGAGGGUCCAUUAACCCAAACCGACACCCCAAGUGCACAACACACAAACACUUAACACAUGUGAUCAAAGGUUAAUCAAAUAACAUCAAUGCAUCACAUAUCAUGCCAUUUACUUUAUACACUUCACAAGGAAGCCAUUGUAGAAGAAGAGCCCCAAUAGGCAGAAGCCAAUGAUGAGCCAACCAAUGUAGCUCAAGGCAAGUCCCUGUGCAUCCCUAUGCUUUUGCUAAAUGCAUAAUGAACUAUGGUUAUCUGUUGCAUCGAUAUGUUACUAUAUGAUCCAAUUAACCAUGAGUUAACUAGUUGAGUUAUCACACCUUGAUGAUACAACACCACUUAACCAUUGUUUGUUUCCUUUUAUUAAUUCAUGCUUAGUAAGAUCAUAAGUCGAGUUAAUGAUGGGUUUCUCAUUACUCGCGUGAUAUUAGCUAGGCAUGUUUUAAGAAACACUCAUUGAGAAUGAUCUAAAGCUUGACCAAUCAUGAACUAAUGAUGUUGAAUAGUCGGCGAGGGGUUGGGUCAUGGCAAGAAGGUGGUGAUCUUGAAUGAUAUAGCUUGCUAACCGGUUAAGGACUAUGUAACCAUAAUAAUGAGGAAUGGACAAAAAAUGUACAAACUCACAAAUGGGGGUGACAAGCAAGUGACUAAUUAUGACUGGUUUGUUUGUGAAACUAGCAUGAGGGUAGCUCCAGGUAGAUGGUGGUAGCUUUACCUGAGAACUUAUCAACCCUUUCAUGAACAUUCUUGGACAGAUUGGGAAAAGGUUGAGACAUCGAGGUAUCCCUUACGUACCGAUGGGUCGUAUGAGCAAUAUCCCUUGUUUUUGUAUAAAUGCUUCACUUGCAAUUGCUAAGUUCGUAGUUAACAUUUAUCAUUCUUGUAUAAAUGCUUUUGUGUGCAAAAUCAAAUGUAUUCCUUGCUACUAGCCAAAUUGCAUGAUCCUUGUUUAUUAUAUCGGGUAAGUCCUGCAGGGUACAAUUGAGUACUCACCCUAUGUGAUCUUGAGUUUUGCAGGUAGUUCAGCCCCCGUACAUGGUUUCUUCUAUGCCCGAGUCCUAGUCAGAUCAGGAGUGGUAGAGAGACCAAUGUCUCAUAGAUGUGUGGUGGUGGCACACCCACACAUUUGUUAUCAUGAAAACUAUGUUGAAAGACUUCCGCUAGACUCUGGUGGUAGUAUGUAAUGUGUAAACUUGUGUUAUGAACUAAGUGUGUGAAGUCCUGGAUUGUAAACUUAAGUAUCUUGAACUUGUAAUAUGACCUAGCUGUGGUCGUGAUGUAUUCUCUCUCUUUGGUUGAUCCUGGGUCAAGGCUGGUAUUUUAGUACAUCUUAUGAGAGGUGUACCGGGAUGACCAAUUAAGUGAAGUGUCUAAUUUAAUAGUCCUCGGACAACAAUCAUCUUGGGUACUCGCUUAAGAGGGCAUUGGUCCUGAUAAUUGUUGAAGGCAAAUUUGGCUAGAUAACACUGAAAGUGAGGCUGUGCAUCAGAAAGUUUAAUUGAACGGCAGGCACUAACAAAUUUGCUAGCACACGUCCAUCAAAAUACUGUUUUUUUAGCUGACAACUAGGAAGGGCAAUAUCUGGAAACUAGUUAAGGUCCGGUGCCCUUGAGCCAGGGAGUCCAGCUCCAAUAGGAAAUGCGUCGGUGUCUGCUUUGAUCAGAGUGAGGGCCGGGAGUGUACAUAUAUGUAACAAUGAGGGGAAAGGCGCCGUUGCCAGGGUAUAGUAUAGCUCGAUGAUGGCAGUCUUUUGAAGCAUGGAGCUAGCCCAGUUAGUGACCAGGCCAUCCUGGUUGCCUGUGGAGGCCAGGGACAGUUCGUGGAACCGUGGUGAGGGUCAGUCAUAGCGCAUCCUACAGGCUACAGCUACUAAAGACCAAGGCACAGUAAAUCACAAAAAAUGGACCAAGGCACAGAACUGGAGAACAAUGGAAAUGAGAAGGCAAAGAAUAUGAGAGGACCAAGGCACAGUGAAUCAAAAAAAUGGACCAAGGCAAAAAAAUGCAAAGAAGGCAAAGAGCUAAUGAUGGAAAUGAGAGGCAUCAAGAAACAAGAAAGCACAUGGAGAUGGAAACCAGGAAUUGAUCAUGCUAACAUGCAUUAGAAAAUAGUUAACAUUAGAAAGACGCAUGGCUUUGCCGCGCUGUUCAGUGAAGGGGACGCCUUGUAUUGCUAGCUCGGAUCCGAUUAUCCUAAGGCUGUCAUUGUCCGGCAAUUCCAGAGGAAAUGAUAGAAAACUGUUGCUUGGGUAGUGUAGAAGUUAGCAAUGGUGUCACUGUCAGCCCACCUGCUUUUCCUUUAUCUACUUUUCGUACUGGUCCUUGCUGUAUAUUAGGUUUUGUUCCGGCCUAAAUUUAGAUGCUCUAGCCAAGUAAUUUAAGAACAUAAGGAAGGCGGAUGCUUUGCAACUACUUGUAGUGAUUUUCAGGGCUCAAAUUAGAUGAUCUAGUUAACACUGCCACACGUUCGGGCAUUAGCACCGGUCGGGAAGGGCCUGUUGCCCCGGUUCCCGAGCCGGUGCUGCCCUUCCGGGACUAAAGGCCCACCCUUUAGUCCCGGUUCCGUUAACCGGGGCUAAAGCCCCCCUUUAACACCGGUUGGUAACACCAACCGGUGUUAAAGGGUCCUGCCAGAGCUGCCACGUUGCAGGACCCUUUAACACCGGUUGGUAUUACCAACCGGUGUUAAAUGGUUUCUUUUUCUUUUUUUUUGGUUCACUUCUUCGGUUCUGUUUAUUGUUUAUAUAUAAUAUAUAAUAAUAGGUUUUUCAAUACAUGUUUUGCUGAUACAAUAAUAUAUUUAUAUUACACGCAUAUUAAGCAUAUAUAAAUGAAAAUUGUAGGCUAAGCUUAAUAGUUAAGCUUUGCCUAUAAUAAAAUGAAUAGACCACAUCAAAAAUUAAAUAGAUAUGUAAAAAGCUUUACAUAUAUAUAGUUUUAUAUGUACAAAAUUCGUAACACAUAUAUACAUAGAGUUUGUUCUCCCAAUGUCUACAAACGAUACAAAUGAUCAUCGUUGUUUGGUAUAAGAGUUUCGUUGCCGUUGAAGUGAAACUCGCCGUUUGGAUUGAUCACUUGGUCGCGGAGAAAUCCUGCUAUCGUCUCUUGGAUAGCUUUGAUUCGGUCUUGUUGUAGGACCUUUUCCCUCAGCCAUUCCGUCUUUAAUUUGAAAUAAAUAAAAAAGGUAUUAGUUAUCUAAGUUAUUCAAUAUAAUUCAGGAGAUAAUGAAAAGAGACAUGUAACGUACUCUGAGCGUCUCUGUGGGUGUUUGAUUGACUUGUGCCAUCAUGAAUUUGCACACAUAAUAUGCACAUAGAUUGUUCCCUCCUUCUUGUCUUAAACACCACUGUACGAUGUAUAUAUAUAUAAAAAUAUUCAUAACCACGACAAUAAGAAGGCUAAAAGUUACCGAAAGUUUGUUAGCUAGUAGAACUUACUUGUGGAUGUAUUAUGUUAAGCGGCGCUUUACAUCCACUGAGAUGUUCACGGUCAAUGAAUCUUUCCCAAACCCUAUACACAGCCAUUGUGGAUCGUGAACUAAUAAUUACAGAGUCAUAUUAUGAUAUUUUUGUAGCUGAGAUCGACAUUACGUACCUUUGAAUAAUGUUUACCAUUUGUUGAUAAUUUUCUUGUGGUUUUCUCAUUGAGUCAAAGAUUAUCAAUCGGUUCUUGGGAAUUUCAAUGACCAUGAGUAUCCAGUGAAAGCUGUUUACACACACAUAUAUAGGGUCAGUCCUAUAAUGUAAAAUAAAAUAUGCAUGCACUUAAUAACUAUAUAACUCACUCGAAGUUGAAGGGGAAGAGUAUUUUUUGUUUUUCUUUUUGGUUUACAAAGAACCUCAUAAGAUUGGUGCAGAUUUCUGUCUCAUAAUCUGCUGUCCACACUGCCUGCGGAGCCUUGAAAACAAUAUAAGGGUCAACGAACCCAAUACUAUUGUCAUUUCUCAUUCUGAGCUCUCUCAUUUGGUGCCUGCAUAUAUACAUACAAAUCCUAAGUGUGUAAGGAUUAUAUACAUGUAAUUAAAAAAGUUAGAAGUAUAAUAAAAAGGAAAAAUACUUACAGACAAAAGCAGCUGACAAGAGAUUUGUCAAGAGCGUCGAGGUGGCAUAAUUGGUGCAAUUCUUCGAACUGCACGUAUAUGAGGUCAUCUCCACGGAAGUAGUGAUGUUGUCUAAUACGAACAGAAAUCCAAUUCUCUCCCCUUUUAGACGCCUCAAUGCACCAUUUGUUUAUUGCAAACAUUUGUGUGCCGAGCUCGUGUAAACGCUUAGGGUCGAAUAGACUCCUGCCCGGUUCAUAUCUUGCCCUCCAUUGAUCAACUACCUCGGCUUUUUCAAAUGUAUGACAUCCAAGAAUGGCGGUAAUUUCUUCUAUAUUUAAACCGCUCUGUCCAAAGUAACUCUCAAGCGAGUCUAGCUCAGACAACGCUAAGGAUUUCUUUGGCAUCAAGUCUUCAUUUGAGCCGUAUUGAUUUGACACAAUCAAAGGGGGCACCGGUUUUGAUACUUCUCCGAGCUGUGGGACCCCCUUUCCUACUCUCUUCUUAGUAGGCUGUGAAGACUUGACCAGAGACCGCUCAUAGUCCGAAAGUGCUGGCUUUUUCUGAGCUUCGCGUUGCUUCUUUUGAUGGUCCGCCACCUUCUGCCUCAGUUCCGAUGGCUUCACAUAAAAGUACGGCUUUUCUGGGUUAAGCCGUUUUUUCCUUUCCUCCUUUAUUUUAUCAAAAAAUUGUUGGACCUCAGCUUUAGAUGUAGCAAUUACCUCCUCUUCACUCUUUUCGUAAGGUAAUUUUUCUGGCGUCUUAGCUCUCUUUGCUGAGGCAGCCUUCUUUGGAGGUGGGACCGAUGACUUCGGUCCUUCUUGGACGGACCGCUUCUUACUACCUCGCUUUGGAGGCGAGGGGACCGACCGUGCACUCUUUGGAGAGGGCGGUGCAUGCGGUGGAGGGGGUGGGGCCGAUCUUUUUGGCGUUGGAGAACGCGGUGGAGGACUUGGAGAACGCGGUGGAGGAGUUGGAGACCUCGGUGGAGGAGGUGGAGACCGUGGUGGAGGCGGUGGCGGGGUCGGUGUGGCCGCCGCAGGUGUUGGAGGAGAUCCAGCAUUGUCACCGCCCGCAGCACUAUGAUGCGCUGGGGAGAGAACUGGACUUAGGUUGGAGGAGUCCCUGCAAAGAAAACAAUUACAAGUUUUGUGAGUAAACUUUUUUUAAAUUUCAAUACAUAAUAAAUAAUAUAAGAAGUAAAAUCACACACAAACCUAUGCUGAGGAAUAAUUAUGAAGCGCUUGCGCCAACAAAUAAAUGUCUUCUCAGCUUCACCUAAGGUCUUCUCUCCGUCUCCCCCUUCUAUGUCUAGUGGCACAUUGUCACAACCUUUCUCAACCCUAUCAACCGAGACGCUAGCAUAUCCACCAGGUACUGGUCGAUUAUGGAUUCUUGGAGUGCCCGUUCGGUCGAUAGGGUUGACAACAGCGAUAGCCACCUUUUUGGUGGCAUUCCCAUCUGGUACAUGCAGCUCACAGGUAGUAAAAGCCUCUGUGACAUCAUCCACGGGGAAGUGUAGCUUCGUGUCAUCCUGAAUGGUUGGUACUUCCGUGGAUGCGCAGCUGCUUUUCAAUUGGCCUGGGGGGCUAACAUUGACCUCAGGCUGUGAUGUACCUUGCCCUUUCGUCAUUUGACUAAGUGCUGCUUGCACUUGCCUUUGAAUCUCUGCCUGCAUCCAUUCUUCACGAGCUUUCUCGCGCUCUUGUGACUGCAGAACAAAAGCUUCCAGGCGGCGGAUCCGCUCUGCCUCCUCAUCCUUCUUUCUCUGGCGGCUUCUGUAGGUAUCUUGAUCGGCUUGGAAUGAUUGCAGCCACGGAACUGCCCCAUAGCCUCUCGUACGCCCACCGUGCUCAGGAUUUUCAAGCGCAUAGGUGAGUUCAUCCUUCUCCCUGUUAGGCCUGAACUCACCAGACUGAACCGCCUCUCGUGCACGGACUAGUCUCUCUGCUGCUCUAGAGAUUUCUUGGCCCCAAACUAGCGCCCCGGUGUCUGGGUCCACGCUUCCCCCAUGACCGUAGAACCAAUGCUUGGAGCGCUCGCUCCAAUUCUUUGCUAUUGUCUCGGGUGUGACCCCCCUAGCAAGCAUCUCCUGUUCCAUUCGGUCCCACUUGGGAGCAGCACUCUUAUAACCACCUGAUCCCAUAUGAUGGUGGUAUGCCUUUUUACUGGCAUUCUCUUUGUUUCUAUUGGCUCGUUCCUCGCCCUCUUCUGAUGUUUUGUACUGCACAAAGUCAUCCCAGAAGGCCCUCAGCUUUACAUAUUGCUUGAGGUUGAAAUCUGGAGUCUCGUUUUUCUUGACAUAUUUAUUGUACAAAGACUUCUUCCAAUUCUGGAAGAGUACUGCCAUCUUCUUCAUAGUCCAGUCAUAAAUUCGCACCUUCAACUCUUCAUCGUUGGUGUCGAAGGUGAAAACGUCUGUGACGGCUUUCCAAACUAACUCCUUGUCACGAUCAGAGACAAAAUUGAUCUCAGGAGCACCUCGCUUCUCUCUCCAUUCACGACAACUGAUCGGUAUUUGAUCUCUCACAAUAUAUCCACAGUGAUUAACAUAUUUAUUUGCAUGCUCACCAAGUGGUCUGCCUGUAGCUAUCUCAAACUCAGAGAUUACAUAGCGGCCCUCCAACGGCUUCUUUGGCCCUCGUGGAGGUACGCUUCUCCCCGUAGAGGUCGAUCCAGAAGGCUACACGUACAUAUAGAAACAAAAAUACUAAAUUAAUAACCAAGUAAUAAGUCUAAAACCUAAUGUAAGAGAUGCAUUAUUUAUAUAUGUUUACAUUUACAUACCUCGCCAGUAUUUUCUUCUUGUUGCACGACAAGUUGUUGCUCAGGGGCAUUGCCCUCUUGUUGCUCAGGGGCAUUGCCCUCUUGUUGCUCAGUAGGAUUGCCUUGCAUGAUGUCGUGGUAAUCAACGAAGUACUGACUACCGUCGUCGAUUAUAUUUUGAAUGGCAGCUUCCAUAUAAUCAGGAUCAUCAUGAGGACGGUCAGCCAUUUCUAUGUCUGCAACCAUACAUAUAUAUAUUCUAUAUAAGAUAAGAAAUACACUAAUACUACUACAAAUGAAAGUGUUGGAGUGCUCUAAAAAUAAUACUAGGAUCUUUUAAGCCAAGUAAUACAUUAGAAUAAAAACAAUACUAGAAUAAUAUAUAGUAGAAACAAAAAUAUAUACAAAACCCUACUAGAAUAAAUUUGGUGGCUAAACACUACUAGAACAUAUAUUAGAGACUUAUAUACUACUACUAGUACUACUACAAAUGAAAGUGUUGGAGUGCUCUAAAAAUAAUACUAGAAUCUUUUAAGCCAAGUAAUACACUAGAAUAAAAAACAAUACUAGAAUAAUAUACAACAAAUAUAUACUAAAAAAACUACUACAAAUAAUAUAUUAAAAAAAUAAUACAUACAUACAUACAAACAAUUAUAAUUCAUACAUACAAACUAUAUAUAUGUGUGUAUAUAUGUACAAAAAAUAAUAUACAUACAUACAAAAAAUAAUACAUAUAUACAAAAAAUAAAACAUACAUACAUACAUACAUACAUACUAUAUAUAUAUACUACAAAUAUUAUAUUAAAAAAAUAAUACAUACAUUCAUACAUACAAACAAUUAUAAUUCAUACAUACAAACUAUAUAUAUGUGUGUAUAUAUGUACAAAAAAUAAUAUACAUACAUACAAAAAAUAAUACAUAUAUACAAAAAAUAAAACAUACAUACAUACAUACAUACUAUAUAUAUAUACUACAAAUAUUAUAUUAAAAAAAUAAUACAUACAUUCAUACAUACAAACAAUUAUAAUUCAUACAUACAAACUAUAUAUAUGUGUGUGUAUAUAUAUGUACAAAAAAUAAUAUACAUACAUACAAAAAAUAAUACAUAUAUAAAAAAAAUAAAACAUACAUACAUACUAUAUAUAUAUACUAGAAUAAUAUAUUAAAAAAAUAAUACAUACAUACAUACAAACAAUUAUAAUUCAUACAUACAAACUAUAUAUAUGUGUAUAUAUGUAUAAAAAAUAAUAUACAUACAUACAAAAAAUAUUACAUAUAUAUACAUAUAAAUAUAUACAAAAAAUAAUACAACAAAUCAAAACACCAUAUAUACAUAUAUAUAUACAUAAAAAUAUAUACAAAAAAUAAUACUACAAAUCAAAACACCAUAUAUAUAUAUAUAUAUAUAUAUAUAUAUUGAUUUGUAGUAUUAUUUUUUGUAUAUAUUUUUAUGUAUAUAUAUGUAAUAUUUUUUGUAUAUAUAUUUCUGGUCUAGCUAAUGUAUAUAAAUACAUAAUUAAUCAAUGGCGUUCUCGAUCUAUACUUAGCACCGGCCGGAAGAAGAUCGACGUGGGAUGUUUUGGAGGCCCGCGCGCUCGAUCUGGCCGUGGCCCGCGGCGGCGGCGUUGGAGGAGGGGCGCGGCGGCGCUGGUGGAGAGCCGCGGCGGCGCUGGUGGAGACGGUGGUCGCGGCGGCGAGGGAGUCGAGAAACGACGGCGGCGAAGACGAUGAACCCGGCGGCGCUGGAACGAAGACGAAGACGAAAGAAUUGCCGGAUCCAGGGCGCCUGUGGCUUAUAUAGGGACGGACCCUUUAGCACCGGUUCCAGCCACGGACCGGUGCUAAAGGGUCCAGAGCGCGCUAGGGCGGGCUCCUGAAAUUUUCAGGACCCUUUAGCACCGGUUUCCACUAUGGGCCGGUGCUAAAGGCCCAUUUUUUUGUUUAGGGUUUUUCAAUUGUUUUAUAUGUACAGUUUAUAUUAUAAAUUGUAUAGUAAAUUAAAUAUUUUGCAUAAUGUUUUUUAAACAGUGACAUAUAUUGUAAUUUGUUUUAAUGUACACAUGAAAAUUUUUAAACUUAAAUAUCUUAUUGUAUUUUUAUAAUUUACAAUGAUUUUGUAAGAAAUGUUUAGUAUUUUGUUAAUGCAAAAAUAUAUUAUUCCAAUAAAUUUACAAAAACUAUAUCCAAUGAACUGGAAAUUUAUUUUCACAUCAUAUUGACGUAAAACUUUUUAUUUUUGUUAUUUAUUACUAGGAAUGCUACUUGGGUAUAAUUUUCAUCAAAUAAAAAAUCAUAUAAAAAUAUAUAUCUUGAUGAACACACCCUUUGAACGAACCCUAGAUUGUCCCAAAUGGAAAAGUCAUGAAUACAAAGUUUGCUACACUCAUCAAGUUCUACAUUUUGUCUAAUGGUCAACUUUUCAUUUGGAAAAGUUUGAACCACUGAAUUUUGAAUUUUCAUGGAACUCAUAGCCACGCAGCGGUUUCGGAACCCUACAUGGUCUCGAAUGGAAAAGUCAUGAAUACCAAUAUUGUUCCACUCAUCAAAAUCUACAUUUCAUAUAUAGACCAUUUUUGCAUUUGACAAAGUUUUGGGAAGGUGUAGUUGAAAAUCCACAAUUGACACAUAUAGUUUCAUAUAGUUUGUGUGAGAACUUAGAAUUGGUGGGUAUUGUUAACUUAGAUUUUCUCAAAUGGAAAAGUUGUGUAUAUAAAAAGUUUAGAUCUUGAAGAUAUCUAACAACUUGGUAUUCAAAAUAUUUUCAUUUGAAGUAAUUUAGUUUGUCAUUUGACCAAGUUUGACCGAAACCCGUCUUGGAUUUUAUAGAAAUGUAACUAGAAUUGGCUCAAAAUUAUCCAAAUGGAAAAAUGGACAAUAUAUAAAAUAUAGAUUUUGAUGAUCUCUAACAACUUUGUAUUCAAACUUUUUUCAUUUCAAGUCAUCAAAUGGGCUAUUUGACCAAGUUUGACCAAAGUCAAAGCAUUGGUUUUUACAAACACACCCUUUGACCGAACCCUAUAUUGUCCCAAAUGGAAAAGUCAUGAAUACAAAGUUUGCUACACUCAUCAAGUUCUACAUUUUGUCUAAUGGUCAACUUUUCAUUUGGAAAAGUUUGAACCACUGAAUUUUGAAUUUUCAUAGAACUCAUAGCCACGCAGCGGUUUCGGAACCCUACAUGGUCUCGAAUGGAAAAGUCAUGAAUACCAAUAUUGUUCCACUCAUCAAAAUCUACAUUUCAUAUAUAGACCAUUUUUGCAUUUGACAAAGUUUUGGGAAGGUGUAGUUGAAAAUCCACAAUUGACACAUAUAGUUUCAUAUAGUUUGUGUGAGAACUUAGAAUUGGUGGGUAUUGUUAACUUAGAUUUUCUCAAAUGGAAAAGUUGUGUAUAUAAAAAGUUUAGAUCUUGAAGAUAUCUAACAACUUGGUAUUCAAAAUAUUUUCAUUUGAAGUAAUUUAGUUUGUCAUUUGACCAAGUUUGACCGAAACCCGUCUUGGAUUUUAUAGAAAUGUAACUAGAAUUGGCUCAAAAUUAUCCAAAUGGAAAAAUGGACAAUAUAUAAAAUAUAGAUUUUGAUGAUCUCUAACAACUUUGUAUUCAAACUUUUUUCAUUUCAAGUCAUCAAAUGGGCUAUUUGACCAAGUUUGACCAAAGUCAAAGCAUUGGUUUUUACAAACACACCCUUUGACCGAACCCUAGAUUGUCCCAAAUGGAAAAGUCAAGCCGACACAACAGUGAACUUCUUCUUGACGUAUGACCCUUGGUUAUGAUCCUGCCGUAACCAUGGAGUAUCCUCAUUGUUUAACAGAAUGCUUGGGUCUUUGUUGACUAUGAAGGGCGGAAUUCGAUCAUCCCUUUCGUAAUCGCCUGACAUGUCUGACUUGUCCUCAAUUCCGACAAUGUUUCUUUUCCCAGAAAGGACAAUGUGGCGCUUUGGCUCAUUGAUGAUUGAGUGGUCAUCAUUUUUUCCUCUCUUUGGUUUCGUAGACAUAUCUUUGACAUAGAACACCUGACUCACGUCUGCAGCAAGGACGAAUGGUUCGUCUUUGAACCCACUAUUGUUAAGGUCCACGGUUGUCAUCCCAUACUCCUAGUCGACUGUUACCCCACCUCCGGUCAUCUUCACCCAUUGGCACCGGAACAAAGGAACUUUAAAAUUAGCUGCAUAGACUAGUUCCCAUAUGUCUUCUAUGCGUCCAUAAUAUGUUUGCCUGUUCCCAUUUGGAUCCGUGGCAUCCACGCGUACACCACUAUUUUGGUUGGUGCUCCUUUUAUCUUGGCCAACUGUGUAAAAUGUGUUACCAUUUAUCUCGUACCCUUUGUAUGUGAUGACAUGCCAUGAUGGUUGCCUGGCCAACAAAUAAAGCUGCUCAUCAAUGUUUUCAUCACCUUGACAUUUUUUGCGCAACCAAUCGCCAAAAGUUUCCAUGUGCUGACGCAUUAUCCAAGCUUCAUUCUUCCCGGGCCACUGGGACCGUAGGUAAUCUUUGUGUACCUCAACAUAUGGUUCCACCAAUGAGGAGUUCUGGAGAACUGUGUAGUGUGCUUUAUUGAAGUAAUCGUUUCCCGUACCAAUAUAUGUUUUCUUCCCAAGUGUUCCCUUUCCGCUGAGUCUGCCCUCGUGUCGAGAUUCAGGAAUGCCAAUUGGGUCAAGGUCUGGAAUAAAGUCAACACAGAACUCUAUGACCUCCUCUGUUCCGUAGCCCUUGGCAAUGCUUCCUUCUGGCCGGGAACGACUAUGGACAUAUUUCUUUAGGACACCCAUGAAUCUCUCGAAGGGGAACAUGUUGUGUAGGAACAUAGGACCGAGAAUACGAAUCUCUUUGACCAGAUGAACUAGGAGGUGUGUCAUGAUAUCGAAGAAGGAUGGAGGGAACACCAACUCAAAGCUGACGAGACAUUGAACGACAUCAUUCUGCAGAGUAGCUAGUUGCUCUGGAUUGAUUGCCUUCUGAGAAAUUGCAUUGAGGAAUGCACAUAGCUUUACGGUGGCUAGACGUACAUGUGGAGGUAGAAUUCCUCUUAAAACGACCGGCAGCAAUUGCGUCAUUAGAACGUGACAGUCAUGGGACUUCAAGUUCAGGAAUUUCUUCUCUGGCACAUUAAUUAUUCCCUUGAUAUUGGAGGAGAAUCCAGAUGGGACCUUGAUGCUGCUAAGACAUUCAAACAUGCUUUCCUUCUCUUCUUUGCUCAGAGUGUAGCUAGCAGGGCUUAAGUAAUGACGUCCAUCAUCUGUCUUUUCUGGAUGCAGGUUGUCUCGUUCUUUCAUGCGCUGCAAGUCUUGUCGUGCUUCAAGUGAAUCCUUAGACUUCCCGUAGACACCCAUGAAUCCGAGCAAGUUCACACAAAGAUUCUUUGUCAGGUGCAUCACGUCGAUCGCGUUGCGGACCUCUAGGACAUUCCAGUAAGGUAGCUCCCAAAAUAUGCAUUUCUUCUUCCACAUGGGUACGUGUCCCUUAGCAUCCUUGGGAAUAGGUUCGCUGCCUCGUCCCUUUCCAAAUACCACUUUUAUAUCCUUGACCAUUUCGAGUACAUCAUCCCCGGUUCGAUUGAGAGGUUUGGUCCGGUGGUCUGCCUUGCCUUUAAAAUGCUUGCCUUUCUUUCGUACUGGGUGGUUCACCGGAAGAAACCGACGGUGGCCAAGGUACACGACCUUUCGACAUUUUUUCAAAAAUACACAGUCAAGGUCUUCAUAACAAUGUGUGCAUGCAUUAUAUCCCUUGUUUGACUGGCCUGAAAGAUUACUCAGAGCUGGCCAAUCAUUGAUUGUUACAAACAGCAAUGCUCGUAGGUCAAAGUGCUCUUGUUUGUACUCAUCCCACACGCGAACUCCUGGUUUGCUCCAUAAAAGUUGAAGUUCCUCAACUAAUGGCCUAAGGUAGACAUCUAUGUCAUUGCCAGGUUGCUUCGGUCCUUGGAUAAGCACCGGCAUCAUAAUAAACUUCCGCUUCAUGCAUAGCCAUGGAGGAAGGUUGUAGAUACAUAGAGUAACUGGCCAAGUGCUGUGACUACUGCUCUGCUCACCGAAAGGAUUCAUACCAUCUGUACUUAAGGCGAACCGCAAGUUUCUAGCAUCAUUUGCAAAAUCUGAGAAUUCUCUGUCUAUCGCUCUCCACUGGGAUCCAUCGGCAGGGUGUCUCAGCAUAUUGUCUAUCUUACGGUCUUCUUUAUGCCACCGCAACAACUUUGCAUUGUCCUUAUUUCUGAACAGACGUUUUAAUCGUGGUAUUAUAGGAGCAUACCACAUAACCUUGGCUGGAAUUUUCUUCCUAUGACGUUCUUCACCCUCAACAUCGCCAGGAUCAUCUCGUCUAAUCUUAUACCGUGAUGCCUUGCAUACUGGACAUGCAUCCAAAUUCUCGUAUUCCUCCCCACGGUAGAGGAUGCAGUCAUUAGGACAUGCGUGUAUCUUCUGGAUUUCUAAUCCCAAAGGGCAGACAACCUGUUUUGCUUCAUACGUAGUGGUGGGCAAUUCGUUGCCUUUCGGAAGCAUCUUUUUUAUGAUCUUCAAUAACUGCCCAAAUGCCUUGUCAGAUGUACCAUUCUUUGCCUUCCAUUGCAGCAAUUCUAGUGUGGUACCCAGCUUUUUUUGCCCCUCUUCAGCGGUGGGAUAUAGCGAUUUCCUGUGGUCCUCUAGCAUGCGCUCGAACUUGGCUUUCUCUUUAUCACUUUCACAUUCUCUUUGUGCAUCACGGAUGGCAUCACCAAAAGCAUCAUCGCCCCGAUCAUCUUCUGCCGCCACCUCUUCUUCAUUAUCUCCCCCCAUUGCAACAUCAUUGAAGCCACCGUACUGAGCAAUAAUAUUGGCAUGGUCCAAUUCUUCUUCUUCUUCUUCUUCUUCUUCACCUUCAUCCAUUAUAAUCCCGCUUUCUCCAUGUUUGGUCCAACAAAUAUAGUUUGGUACGAAACCAGACUUUAAUAAGUGUGAAUGAAGAGUUCUUGAGUUAGAAUAUUCCGUCAAAUUCUUGCACACGGCACAUGGACAGCACAUGAAACCGUCCCUCUUAUUUGACUCGGCCACACUUAAGAAAUAGUGCACGCCAUUAAUGAACUCUUCGGAGCGCCGAUCGGCAUUAUACAUCCAAUUACGUGUUACCAUCUGCAUUAAAGAUAACAUAUAUAUUAUGAAAACCAUGCACACAUAUAGUUUCUCAUCUUAUUGCACAACAUGUCUAAGAUACAUAGUUGAUUAAUUUAGAAAAGCUUGGCUACAACAAAUACAAUCGCAACUAGCAUUAAAAAAACAAAACUAAAAUGCACUUAAGCAACAUAAUUAGUUCGCGUCCGAUCCCAACUAUAAUAGAUAGAUCAUUCGCUUGAUCAACAUCAUUGAACUUCUUUCGUCGGCUCACUGCCUCACCACCUUCAGCCUCAACCACCUGUGCAAAAGAUUUCUUAAUGUGUUCAAUGUAUUCUUCCUCCCAGUACCAACCUGUACAUCCGCCGGUACCGUCCCACUGAAAUUAAAAGAGAGAAUCAAAAGUUUAAUUAAUAUCAUUUAAAAAAUAUGCACAUAUAUAAGCAAAUGUCUGGAAAUAACUCACAUUACGAUCUGGACACUUGUAGAAUAUACGACCCUUGUUUACUCCCUCUUUCGACACUUUGUACUCCAUCAAAAUCUUCUGCCCACACUUGCCACAAGUAAUGAGAGGGAGUUCCGGACGGUAUCGCUUUUGAACCCGUUGAGAGACGGAAGACCCGGUCACGGUUGCCAUCUACUAUCCAUACUCAAUUUUAAAACAAUUAUAAAUUCCACAUUUACUAGUAAACAUGUAUGAUACAAUGGACAUUAUAUGUAGUAAUAAAAAUAAAUCAAGUGAUAUUAACAAACCAAUUAAUUUGAACUAUCCUACUUUCUAUGAUCAUAAAAAUAUACUAUAAUUCAUUCUUGCAAAAUAUAUUAAAACUAGGUCAACCAUGAAAUAUGAUAUAUAUAUAUGGAUACUAAUUCAUGUGAAUGAUUCAAAAUAACAAAGUGGAUUUGAGCUAAAAAAUGAUGGGAACAUCACAAGCCAAAAACAACAUGAAAAAGACAAGAAAGGCUGAAGUUAGUCACCUCUAAGCGCGAAGAGACGAUGACGGAGUCGAAGAAGAUCAACGAUGGGCGUUGGAGAUGAAGAACAAAUGAAGAACAAGCAAGAAGAAGCUCCAAGAACAACAAUGGUGCUCUCGGUUUCAAAUGGGCAGAGGGGAGGAGGGAGCCGGCCUAUAAACCGGACCUUUAGCACCGGUUCAGAGCAAAAACCGGUGCUAAAGGGUUACCUUUUAGCACCGGUUUGUAACACAAACCGGUGCUAAAGGGUUUGCCUCGGCCCGUGGCUCUGGCCGGUGCUAAAGGGACCCCUUUAGCACCGGUUCUGGUUAAAAACCGGUGCUAAAGGGUCUCUGCCCCGACAGCACAUGUCAGUAGCCGUUGGGCAGGACCCUUUAGCACCGGUUUGUCACACGAACCGGUGCUAAAGGGGUCUUUAACCCCGGGCCGCAAAAAGGCCGAGGUUUUUGGCCAUUUUGGGCAUCGACCAAUGCCUCAUUCUGUAGUAGUGUAAGUGAAUUAAGAACAAAUAAAGGGGGUCUCGAUGGUUUAAAACAACUAGAAUUUGGCUUAUUUACAAACCCAAUGAAAUAAAUCAUGAGUCGGAGUUGAAUAUGAGGAUUGUUUACCUUCUGGUUUGCGCACUCUUAUCUCACACUCAUGUGAGCCUUCGAAAGCAGUAAUCCAACUUGGACAGCGGCCGAUGAUAAUGUGGUUGUCAACUUGAUUGCAGCAGAACUGGUGGUGGAUUAAGGGUGUCGGUCAAUGCUGAUGGACUCAGGAUUAGGAUUCUAAGUUCGCCCAGCACUUGUUCUAUCUUAUAAAUACUUGUAAAAUUUUGCAAGUGCAAUAAAUCAGCAGAAACUCUAAGCUCGCCACCCGCGGCCUAGACCUCGGACGCUGAUCUCUCACCCCUACAACCUCUGCAGUAAUCGCCGUAGGAUUUGAUCACGGAGCUCACAAUUGCUUCUGCCCCUAGCGGUCAAUCAUUAAUCUUGUGUAAUUUUUAUGCACAAUGAUUGAUUUGUGUGGGAAUUCAUCAUCCUGGAGCCGUCACCACCAUCACUACCACCACCUCACAACCACUACACUCAAGUACAAAAAGAAUUUGGCAUAGUGACUCCUGAUUCCAAGAUCGUGCUCGAGGAGAUUCAAUGCCUCUUCGCCAAACCGAACACCAAGCUAGAUCAACGUUUCAUUGAGUCUGCCCUCAAUUUUGAUCGACGCAUCAUGGACUCCGAGCUUUCCCAAGACGUGUGUGUCACCACCCUGGAGAAAGCGGCAAGGUACUUGAACUUGUGGUGUCAGCAGAUGGAGGGCGUCGUCGACAACCUCCUCGUCAAGGUUGGCAAGUUAUCCAAACAUUGGGAUUGAUCUGUCCUUGACAAAUCGGCAAUGUGAGGGAUGCAAGGGACCUUGGUCUCUUGGAGGCAGGCGACCUGAGGGUUAGUACAAGAGACAUCACAGACAUUGUCACAGUGUUCACUUAAACUCGUUUAAAUUGUAUACACAUGUGUAAACCAAGAACUAUGGUUAUACACUUCUACCCUAAACGGUGAAUUAAAUAAAAAAUCAUUUAAAUGUCAAAAGACAGUUUAAACUUUAAGUCAUGAUAAAGUGGGAACCACACGCUUUGCCAUCGGAGAGUGGUUAGGAGAAGCAGUGGAAUGGAUGGGGCACAUUUGUGACUUUUGCUCUAAUCAUACUAUAUAACCAUAACUGUAUAGCUAGCAAAUAUGUUUUGUAGAGUAUGACUGUGACUUCUGCUAUCAAUGUAUCUUCUGGUUUAGUAUACUUACUAUAUAGCUAGCAUACAGUACAAAAAGCUAUAGGAGCUGCAUUCCUCUGUUUUUCCUAAGUUCUUCCUGUGAACCAAACAGGGCCGAUCGUUGAAUAAAAUUACAGAAUUGUUACAACUUGUUUUGUAAAGGCAUGCACCUGUAUUGGUUAAGGAACGAAUUUUAAGAUCCGCAAGAGAUGUUGGAAGUUGUCAUCCACAAGCAGCGCUGCUGGGAAAAGACAGGUAUGUGCAGCUGUUCAGCGUUUUAGACACUGGUCGUCGCUUAAUAAGCCUUAUUUUUAAAUUAUUGUAUUUGUGAAAUUGUGAACUCUCAUAUCCAGUAGAAACCAUAGAAAUAUUGAGCUCAAAUAAGUAAAAGGCAGGUACACUCAAAAUUGACUAAAAGUGAGGACGUGCACUGAAAAAACGUUUAAUUGAAUGGUGGACACUCACAAAUGAGUUAUCUGUAUUUCAACUUCUUUGAAGAGUCAAAACGUCUUGUGCACCACCACCUUAGCUCUCGCCCGGUGCUCACAACGCUUCCGUCCGGGCUCGUGCAGUUGUGUGCGCCUGGCCUUGCCGCAUGGUGCUCGCACGCCGCUAUGGCUUGGACCGGUGCUUGGGCUGGAUCUUGCUGGAGCUUUCCCAACUCAAUCCGAAUUUGAUCCUUGUUAAUUUUAUUGCAUUUGAUUGAUUUUUUGGUACAUCUUCAUCUCUCCAGAUUGAUCUUUUUUUUUGGGUACAUCUUCAUCUCUCCAGAUCAUAUUUAUUUGGUUGUCAACAGAAGUGAUACAGGCUGCAAGGCACUUUGGCAGUAGCAGCAUACUGAUACUCGGGUAGAAGCACAAUGUGAGCCUGAUUGAUCCUUUCUAGUAGGUUAGCCUAUCCAUAGUGGAAGCUGUGGAAGAACAUGAGCAAGGCAGCAGACGUGGCGUACGCGCCCGUUUGGCCCCGGCGUGCUGUUUGCAUCCAAGGCAUCUGCCAUAGCGCAUCCUACUAAAGACCAAGGCACAGAACUGAAGAACAAUGGGCCUUGCCAGGUCUUCAGGUCAAGCUGGGUCCAAAGUGCAAUAUGCCUGAGGGUGUUCCUCUCCGUAGGACUAACAACAAACAACAUACAAACUAUCCCAAACGAAUCAUUCAUCUGUGAUUCACCCACUCUAUCUUCUCUUUGUGUUGUUCUCUUCAUCUUAAUAUCCCUAUUCCUAUCAGUCCACUAACACAUGGCAUCAGAUUCACGAUUUGGGAUCCAGUUCAUCAUUCCACUGGCAUCGGAUUUGGUCGUUGAGCUCGUGAUUGCUUCUGCCCCUAGCGGUCAAUCGUUGACCUUGUGUAAUUUCCUAUGGGGAUAUGGUGCUCCAAACGGGUACCCACAGUUCUUCUCUAGUGUAACUAAAUGAACUAAAUAUACAAUUUCUUCCCUUAUUUUUUUAUUUAGUUCAUUUAGUUAUAGUAAAGAAGAACCACGGGUAUCCAUUUGGAAGGCCAUUCCCAUCCUUAAUUUCCUGUAUCCACAGAUUGAUUUCUACGGGAAUUCAUCGUUGUGGAGCUGCCAUCACCACCACCACCACCUCACGACCACUACACUUGAGUACAGAAAAAAAAGUUUGAUGUGAUGAGUCCCGAUUCCAAAAUCCUCCUAGGAGAUUCAAUGCCUCUUCGCCAAACACAACACCAAGCUAGAGCAAUGUUUCAUUGAGGUUGACCUCAAUUUCAAUUUACGCAUCAUAAACUCUAAGCUUUCCCAACACAUGCACCUCGCUGCCCUGGAGAAAGCAGUGGGGCACUUCAACUUGUGGCAUCAGGACAUGGAGGGUGUCGACGAUGACCUCCUCGUUGAGGUUGACAAGUUAUCCAAACAUUGGUCCUUGUGUGAACACAAGGUCGAGAAGUACCCUUGUGGUUCGUUUUGUGAUGAGUGAUUGUGAUCCACGAAUAAGUUGAGUUGGUGACUAACAUUACCAUGGCGAAAGCUAUGUAUGCGAUAUGUCUCUUGGCUUGUGGUGUUCAGAUGUGGAGCUCGGAGGCGGUGGUCGAUGGCGAGGAGAAGGUCUGUGUCGUGCCGAUGGACCUGGAGCGGUGAAGGACGGACAUGAGGCUUGGACUGACGGACCAGGACGCUGGGUGACCAGCCGUAAUGGCUGACAUCUGGGACAUCGACAAGUGCAAGUGUACAUGAAAGUGACUGUGUUGACCAAGUCAAGACGGCGGACGCGAGUCGAGCGAGGCUCAGAAGGACUUGGCGGGCAGGCCGGUCGAGGACGGCAGUGACACGUGUCGAGCAGCGGGGAAAGCGUAUGGAGUACGCUACUCGCGGCGGGUUUCGCGGGUUUGGGCCUCAAAACCCGGGCGGAGGUCCCGAUGCGGACGGACGGCAUGUGGCGGCAUCGGUGAGAUCGCUUCGGAGCAAGGCUACCGGUGAGGAGGCGCGGUGGCCGUCGGAUCAAGAGAAAGAGUUGAACUAAAAUGCCCUGGGGCUAGCUAGUUCGCUCAAAAAUAUUUAGAGAUAUUUGGGGAAUAUGUAAUAUACCUGAGAAAUAAGCCGGGGGAGUCCUCCAUCUCCCUUAUCUCUCUCCCACCUCUCUUUUUCCAUCUCUAUCUGUCUGUCCGUAGGCUUGUUCUCCCCCUUCCUGGUUCUUUUAGCAAAGAGACUAUGCACUAAAAUUUUUAGGAGUGUUUUGUACUGAUUUUUGAGUGGGAAUGGAGGCCCAAAUCCUCCAGUUGUCCUCCGAGAUUUCUCUGAGUUCGUCAUUUUUCUCUAUUUUCGUUCUUGGCUAAGAUCCCAAUUUCCCGGAGUUUGGGUUAAUCUCAGGCAAUGAUUCUUUGGGGAUGAGUUUGUGCAUAGGUGAAUUUCAUUUGUGCAAAGUUUGGGAGAAAGUCCUUUUGAUUUGAGUUGAAUUUCAUCGAUUUUGUGGCUACUGCCGUUUCUGUUGGUUCUUAUGUUUGUGCGUCUGUUCUUCUGCUCGUGAUUUGGUAGACUCAUAGGAUCGGACAACAACGCUACCAACGCCGUGCGUGCUCGAUUGAGCAGCGUUUGCCUCAGUGCCAGGCACAGGCAGUCCGUCCGCACGGGGAAUAGGUCCGUCGGGGCCGGCUCUCGUCCAUGGCUUCUGGCGUCUGAGCACGAGCAGACCCGUGCCUCUCCUAGGUUCUUGCAGGUGUUUUUGUUUGAUCAGGUUCGAUUCCUUUCUCUGCAGGCGUGAACAAAUUUGCCCAGCGCUUUUCUCUAUGACUGCUUCAUUCUUGUGCUCGAGUCUGUGACUCAGUCAAUCUUCAGGAACAGGUCAGAUGAGUGCUCGUCCACCGAUCUGUGCAGACAGUUCCAGGUUUGAUUUCAGCCUUGAGUUUAAGCAGUGACGAUCUCCAGUGCAAACCCUGGACUCUUCUUCUAUAGCUGUGUGUGCUAUCAGUGAUUGCACUUUCUUGGUUUUCUAUUUGGGAACUAACAGAUGCUCGUAUUAAGUGCAGCAGCUAGUCCUUGUUUUUGAGCCUUCUCUGAUUGGUCGUUUGAUUCAGCACCAAAUCGUUGCUUGGAUAAGUUUUCUGGACCCGAUCGUUCCUCUCUCUGGUAUGCACUUUGCAGCAGCAAGGCCGAUCGGCCAAUCACCCAGGCUUAUGUGUUGCAGCAACAUUGCGUGUGCCUUUUUGUUUGUAUUUGUGAUGAGCAGAUAUUUUUUGAGUAUUUUCUGGACAAUUUUUCUAGCCUUGAUUUUCGGUUUUGCGCGUAGCUUGGUCGUUUGUGCUCCGAUUUAAGUUUCAUUUGUUGCGUUAGCUUCCUACCGUUCCAAAGAAUUUUUCUAGAUACUCCCGUCACUAGUUGGCUUGAAUAUUUUGGUUUUGGAUCGUGUUUGCGUUUGGCGGUGAUUUUAGGAUAGUGGUCAAUUAUUUUCGAGUGAAAAUUUGAGGCUCCCAUUCACUCUCCCUCUGGUCGCCGUUUUCGGUCCUUCACCUUGACAAAUCGGUGACGUGAGAGAUGCAAGGGAGCUUGGUCUCUUGGAGGCAGGUGACGUCAGGUUAGCGCAAGACACAUCAAUGACAGUGUCACACAUUGUUUACUUAAACUCGUUUAAAUUGUCUACACAUGUGUAAAUAAAAAAAGAUGGUGAUACAUAUAGUCUGUACCCUAAAUGGUGGAACAAAAAAAUCAUUUAAAAGGUCAAAAAACAGUUGCCAUCGGAGGGUGGUCAUGAGAAGCAGUGGAAUGGAUGAGGUGUCUAGCUUGACAUGUGCUGAAUUAAUUUUUUUCUCGUGUUGCAACACGCAAGUACAUAUUUGCUAGCUAUAUUGUAAGUAGUAAAGGAGAAGAUACCUUGAUAGCAAAAUUCACAAUCAUAUUCUGCUACUAAAACCAUUGAAUGCAUCCAUAUAAUGCCUUGUUAGAAAUUUAGACAUUUUAAUGUUUGAUUUAAUCCAGAAAAUUACCCAUAAAAUUGUGGUGGCAUAUAUGUGCACGUGUGCAAUUUUAUCACUACUCAGAUUAGAGAUAAAUAUUGCAAGAACUACUGCAACUACAGCAGACAUACUGAAAGUAAAAAACAAUCGUUUAAGAUUGUAUCCAGAGGAGGGACCAGUGCCAAAGGCACCGGCGGCUCCAUUCGCACUAGUCGACAUAGUGCGUUGCUCGAAGUAGCGGACCACAGUCGGUGCAGGAAGAUGUUCGCAGUGCAGUCCCGCGAACGGCCACCAGGAAGAAGACGAAGACGCCGUAGUCGAUCUCGAUCCGCGCGGACGUCCACCAGGAAGAAGACAACGAACUCGCCGAUGAGCAGUCGCGGAAGACGCUCCCCAAAAAACCUGAUUGCCCGCAACACCCGAGCAGGAGUCUCGUUGCAAGGCGUCGGGUUCCGGAGGCCUGCUCUCCCGAUCUCUGUGCACGCAGAGGUUCGGAACGGGAAUGGACAGAAAGCAACUCGACAGGAGAGAGAGGACUGAAUGUGUUCUCGCUAGUAUGGAAAGAGUGAGUGCGUAUGUAAUAUAUAGGCCUCAGGAGGAAACGUCUGAUUGAUGACAAUUAAUCUCAUUUAAUUGCCAUAAACCGAGUCAAUCAAUUAGCAAUUAAUUGCCAUUAAUUACACAACGGUCAGAUCCCAUUUUCCUCCCUUUCCUUAUUCACCACGCAUGUGCCACGUCACGUAUGGUCUGGUCCUCGUGUGCCACGUCACGCUCGCUCGUCUCGACCUAGACAAGACAAUACAAGACACGUCACGCCACGGCUCGACGGCGGCGGCGGCGCGCACGUGUGGCACCCCUUCACCCUCCCUCAACUUCUCCAUAGGGGCUAACAAAGACCACCUAUUUAAGUUGAGUUAACACAUGGUCAAUCAUCAAUAUGGUACUAAACUAUUUUCAUUAUAGCAUUAAUUAUGGGCCCUUGAAUUAAUCAUCAAAUAUAAUUAUGGGCUAAAAAGGCCCAUUAUAUUCAACCCACCUAUUUCUAGGGCACAUAAGAAAAGCUCUCGAGUUUCCAUUAAUACGUAGGAGUGCCAUGUAUAUUAUAUUUAGGAGACCUCUGCAAGGGUGAGGAGAUGAGAGACACCUUGUUCCCCAACUAAACAACAUUAGUUUAACUCCUUCCUAAUUAACACUAGUGGCUCAUUUAAACUCAGCAAUAUUCCAUCAAAUAUACAGAUAUUGCUGUGAUUCUAUGUCGCCCAUAUGCUGCUAAGAUGAUGAUCGAGUUUUAGGCAAUUUGCAACCAGACCAUCCACAGUUUCAUUUGUUCUCACCCACCUAUCAUCAAAGGUAAUAUCAUCAGAGUGAGGAUUAAGGUUUCAAGCCCACUUUGUGCAAGAUUAGGUACCACUUGCUGACUUUCUUGAGUGAAGAUGGACGAAACAGACACGUGGUUAAUUGUUUUUUGCACCUGAUCACAUGAAAUGCAGCAUUUGUGAUGUGGUAACCCCCAUUUGGCAAGACAAUCUGCAGUAUAGCAUGUUUAUGGGCCACCGAAAGCCCAAAGAAUUUUCACUUGCCAUACACAUAAUUUUUCCAGAUUCUCUUCCAAUGUCUAAAAUGGUGGCACCAAUGAAGAAUCUCUCAUAUAUAUGCUAGUUUUACUUAAUGCUUUCCAUUGGAAUAUAAGCACCCAUUGUGGAUAGGUAGGUAGGUAGGUAGGUAGGUAGGUAGGUAGAUUAUUGAUUGAUUAUUGACUACAAUAAAAGGUAUUUUCAUUGGCGGGUCUCUUAGAUUAAUAGAUCGAGGUGGGUGGUCUAUCUCCUCUACCAAAUGUUGUCUAUUAGUGGGUCAUUUGUAGAGAUGAUCAGCCAGGCCGCCCUUGUAAACUAAUUAACACAGACCAACCAGGAUGUGUAGCCAGCACAACAUAUCCGAGAAGAUGCCGCCAACCUUGAACUUCUGGUUUCCAGUAGGCGCCAUGUUGCUAGCAUGUGACAAGCCUUGGUACGGCUAUAUUUUGGUGCACUAGUUCCACCAAGCCAAACUCGUGCAGCAACUGUGACCUCAGGAGCUCAAUUUUGAUGUAGUAGUGAUUGAUUGAUUUACCAUUCCAAUAAUUAUUUAACAAUCAAUUCUGAUGAGUCCAAUAAAGGAGAAGAUGCUUGGAUAGUAAAGAGUGACAAUUUUACUGUGCAAUAAUAUAUGGUUAACUUUUGAAUUUAUGCAUAUGGGAGUUGCUUGAAUGCUUCCUGUCAGGCAACUACAGAGCCAAACAGUAACCUAGACCAAGUAGCACGUGCGUGUACAUGGCAGAUUUCUAGCAUCGCAAGCGAACAGGCCCAUUUGCCUACUGAGAAUAAAUAUGCAACAGCUCUUUCACAAAAUAAAUUAAAGGAAUAAUAUGUCAUGGCUUUGCCGCGCUGUUCAGUGAAGGGGACGCCUUGUAUUGCUAGCUCGGAUCCGAUUAUCCUAAGGCUGUCAUUGUCCGGCAAUUCCAGAGGAAAUGAUAGAAAACUGUUGCUUGGGUAGUGUAGAAGUUAGCAAUGGUGUCACUGUCAGCCCACCUGCUUUUCCUUUAUCUACUUUUCGUACUGGUCCUUGCUGUAUAUUAGGUUUUGUUCCGGCCUAAAUUUAGAUGCUCUAGCCAAGUAAUUUAAGAACAUAAGGAAGGCGGAUGCUUUGCAACUACUUGUAGUGAUUUUCAGGGCUCAAAUUAGAUGAUCUAGUUAACACUGCCACACGUUCGGGCAUUAGCACCGGUCGGGAAGGGCCUGUUGCCCCGGUUCCCGAGCCGGUGCUGCCCUUCCGGGACUAAAGGCCCACCCUUUAGUCCCGGUUCCGUUAACCGGGGCUAAAGCCCCCCUUUAACACCGGUUGGUAACACCAACCGGUGUUAAAGGGUCCUGCCAGAGCUGCCACGUUGCAGGACCCUUUAACACCGGUUGGUAUUACCAACCGGUGUUAAAUGGUUUCUUUUUCUUUUUUUUUUGGUUCACUUCUUCGGUUCUGUUUAUUGUUUAUAUAUAAUAUAUAAUAAUAGGUUUUUCAAUACAUGUUUUGCUGAUACAAUAAUAUAUUUAUAUUACACGCAUAUUAAGCAUAUAUAAAUGAAAAUUGUAGGCUAAGCUUAAUAGUUAAGCUUUGCCUAUAAUAAAAUGAAUAGACCACAUCAAAAAUUAAAUAGAUAUGUAAAAAGCUUUAUAUAUAUAUAGUUUUAUAUGUACAAAAUUCGUAACACAUAUAUACAUAGAGUUUGUUCUCCCAAUGUCUACAAACGAUACAAAUGAUCAUCGUUGUUUGGUAUAAGAGUUUCGUUGCCGUUGAAGUGAAACUCGCCGUUUGGAUUGAUCACUUGGUCGCGGAGAAAUCCUGCUAUCGUCUCUUGGAUAGCUUUGAUUCGGUCUUGUUGUAGGACCUUUUCCCUCAGCCAUUCCGUCUUUAAUUUGAAAUAAAUAAAAAAGGUAUUAGUUAUCUAAGUUAUUCAAUAUAAUUCAGGAGAUAAUGAAAAGAGACAUGUAACGUACUCUGAGCGUCUCUGUGGGUGUUUGAUUGACUUGUGCCAUCAUGAAUUUGCACACAUAAUAUGCACAUAGAUUGUUCCCUCCUUCUUGUCUUAAACACCACUGUACGAUGUAUAUAUAUAUAAAAAUAUUCAUAACCACGACAAUAAGAAGGCUAAAAGUUACCGAAAGUUUGUUAGCUAGUAGAACUUACUUGUGGAUGUAUUAUGUUAAGCGGCGCUUUACAUCCACUGAGAUGUUCAUGGUCAAUGAAUCUUUCCCAAACCCUAUACACAGCCAUUGUGGAUCGUGAACUAAUAAUUACAGAGUCAUAUUAUGAUAUUUUUGUAGCUGAGAUCGACAUUACGUACCUUUGAAUAAUGUUUACCAUUUGUUGAUAAUUUUCUUGUGGUUUUCUCAUUGAGUCAAAGAUUAUCAAUCGGUUCUUGAGAAUUUCAAUGACCAUGAGUAUCCAGUGAAAGCUGUUUACACACACAUAUAUAGGGUCAGUCCUAUAAUGUAAAAUAAAAUAUGCAUGCACUUAAUAACUAUAUAACUCACUCGAAGUUGAAGGGGAAGAGUAUUUUUUGUUUUUCUUUUUGGUUUACAAAGAACCUCAUAAGAUUGGUGCAGAUUUCUGUCUCAUAAUCUGCUGUCCACACUGCCUGCGGAGCCUUGAAAACAAUAUAAGGGUCAACGAACCCAAUACUAUUGUCAUUUCUCAUUCUGAGCUCUCUCAUUUGGUGCCUGCAUAUAUACAUACAAAUCCUAAGUGUGUAAGGAUUAUAUACAUGUAAUUAAAAAAGUUAGAAGUAUAAUAAAAAGGAAAAAUACUUACAGACAAAAGCAGCUGACAAGAGAUUUGUCAAGAGCGUCGAGGUGGCAUAAUUGGUGCAAUUCUUCGAACUGCACGUAUAUGAGGUCAUCUCCACGGAAGUAGUGAUGUUGUCUAAUACGAACAGAAAUCCAAUUCUCUCCCCUUUUAGACGCCUCAAUGCACCAUUUGUUUAUUGCAAACAUUUGUGUGCCGAGCUCGUGUAAACGCUUAGGGUCGAAUAGACUCCUGCCCGGUUCAUAUCUUGCCCUCCAUUGAUCAACUACCUCGGCUUUUUCAAAUGUAUGACAUCCAAGAAUGGCGGUAAUUUCUUCUAUAUUUAAACCGCUCUGUCCAAAGUAACUCUCAAGCGAGUCUAGCUCAGACAACGCUAAGGAUUUCUUUGGCAUCAAGUCUUCAUUUGAGCCGUAUUGAUUUGACACAAUCAAAGGGGGCACCGGUUUUGAUACUUCUCCGAGCUGUGGGACCCCCUUUCCUACUCUCUUCUUAGUAGGCUGUGAAGACUUGACCAGAGACCGCUCAUAGUCCGAAAGUGCUGGCUUUUUCUGAGCUUCGCGUUGCUUCUUUUGAUGGUCCGCCACCUUCUGCCUCAGUUCCGAUGGCUUCACAUAAAAGUACGGCUUUUCUGGGUUAAGCCGUUUUUUCCUUUCCUCCUUUAUUUUAUCAAAAAAUUGUUGGACCUCAGCUUUAGAUGUAGCAAUUACCUCCUCUUCACUCUUUUCGUAAGGUAAUUUUUCUGGCGUCUUAGCUCUCUUUGCUGAGGCAGCCUUCUUUGGAGGUGGGACCGAUGACUUCGGUCCUUCUUGGACGGACCGCUUCUUACUACCUCGCUUUGGAGGCGAGGGGACCGACCGUGCACUCUUUGGAGAGGGCGGUGCAGGCGGUGGAGGGGGUGGGGCCGAUCUUUUUGGCGUUGGAGAACGCGGUGGAGGACUUGGAGAACGCGGUGGAGGAGUUGGAGACCUCGGUGGAGGAGGUGGAGACCGUGGUGGAGGCGGUGGCGGGGUCGGUGUGGCCGCCGCAGGUGUUGGAGGAGAUCCAGCAUUGUCACCGCCCGCAGCACUAUGAUGCGCUGGGGAGAGAACUGGACUUAGGUUGGAGGAGUCCCUGCAAAGAAAACAAUUACAAGUUUUGUGAGUAAACUUUUUUUAAAUUUCAAUACAUAAUAAAUAAUAUAAGAAGUAAAAUCACACACAAACCUAUGCUGAGGAAUAAUUAUGAAGCGCUUGCGCCAACAAAUAAAUGUCUUCUCAGCUUCACCUAAGGUCUUCUCUCCGUCUCCCCCUUCUAUGUCUAGUGGCACAUUGCCACAACCUUUCUCAACCCUAUCAACCGAGACGCUAGCAUAUCCACCAGGUACUGGUCGAUUAUGGAUUCUUGGAGUGCCCGUUCGGUCGAUAGGGUUGACAACAGCGAUAGCCACCUUUUUGGUGGCAUUCCCAUCUGGUACAUGCAGCUCACAGGUAGUAAAAGCCUCUGUGACAUCAUCCACGGGGAAGUGUAGCUUCGUGUCAUCCUGAAUGGUUGGUACUUCCGUGGAUGCGCAGCUGCUUUUCAACUGGCCUGGGGGGCUAACAUUGACCUCAGGCUGUGAUGUACCUUGCCCUUUCGUCAUUUGACUAAGUGCUGCUUGCACUUGCCUUUGAAUCUCUGCCUGCAUCCAUUCUUCACGAGCUUUCUCGCGCUCUUGUGACUGCAGAACAAAAGCUUCCAGGCGGCGGAUCCGCUCUGCCUCCUCAUCCUUCUUUCUCUGGCGGCUUCUGUAGGUAUCUUGAUCGGCUUGGAAUGAUUGCAGCCACGGAACUGCCCCAUAGCCUCUCGUACGCCCACCGUGCUCAGGAUUUUCAAGCGCAUAGGUGAGUUCAUCCUUCUCCCUGUUAGGCCUGAACUCACCAGACUGAACCGCCUCUCGUGCACGGACUAGUCUCUCUGCUGCUCUAGAGAUUUCUUGGCCCCAAACUAGCGCCCCGGUGUCUGGGUCCACGCUUCCCCCAUGACCGUAGAACCAAUGCUUGGAGCGCUCGCUCCAAUUCUUUGCUAUUGUCUCGGGUGUGACCCCCCUAGCAAGCAUCUCCUGUUCCAUUCGGUCCCACUUGGGAGCAGCACUCUUAUAACCACCUGAUCCCAUAUGAUGGUGGUAUGCCUUUUUACUGGCAUUCUCUUUGUUUCUAUUGGCUCGUUCCUCGCCCUCUUCUGAUGUUUUGUACUGCACAAAGUCAUCCCAGAAGGCCCUCAGCUUUACAUAUUGCUUGAGGUUGAAAUCUGGAGUCUCGUUUUUCUUGACAUAUUUAUUGUACAAAGACUUCUUCCAAUUCUGGAAGAGUACUGCCAUCUUCUUCAUAGUCCAGUCAUAAAUUCGCACCUUCAACUCUUCAUCGUUGGUGUCGAAGGUGAAAACGUCUGUGACGGCUUUCCAAACUAACUCCUUGUCACGAUCAGAGACAAAACUGAUCUCAGGAGCACCUCGCUUCUCUCUCCAUUCACGACAACUGAUCGGUAUUUGAUCUCUCACAAUAUAUCCACAGUGAUUAACAUAUUUAUUUGCAUGCUCACCAAGUGGUCUGCCUGUAGCUAUCUCAAACUCAGAGAUUACAUAGCGGCCCUCCAACGGCUUCUUUGGCCCUCGUGGAGGUACGCUUCUCCCCGUAGAGGUCGAUCCAGAAGGCUACACGUACAUAUAGAAACAAAAAUACUAAAUUAAUAACCAAGUAAUAAGUCUAAAACCUAAUGUAAGAGAUGCAUUAUUUAUAUAUGUUUACAUUUACAUACCUCGCCAGUAUUUUCUUCUUGUUGCACGACAAGUUGUUGCUCAGGGGCAUUGCCCUCUUGUUGCUCAGGGGCAUUGCCCUCUUGUUGCUCAGUAGGAUUGCCUUGCAUGAUGUCGUGGUAAUCAACGAAGUACUGACUACCGUCGUCGAUUAUAUUUUGAAUGGCAGCUUCCAUAUAAUCAGGAUCAUCAUGAGGACGGUCAGCCAUUUCUAUGUCUGCAACCAUACAUAUAUAUAUUCUAUAUAAGAUAAGAAAUACACUAAUACUACUACAAAUGAAAGUGUUGGAGUGCUCUAAAAAUAAUACUAGGAUCUUUUAAGCCAAGUAAUACAUUAGAAUAAAAAACAAUACUAGAAUAAUAUAUAGUAGAAACAAAAAUAUAUACAAAACCCUACUAGAAUAAAUUUGGUGGCUAAACACUACUAGAACAUAUAUUAGAGACUUAUAUACUACUACUAGUACUACUACAAAUGAAAGUGUUGGAGUGCUCUAAAAAUAAUACUAGAAUCUUUUAAGCCAAGUAAUACACUAGAAUAAAAAACAAUAGUAGAAUAAUAUACAACAAAUAUAUACUAAAAAAACUACUACAAAUAAUAUAUUAAAAAAAUAAUACAUACAUACAUACAAACAAUUAUAAUUCAUACAUACAAACUAUAUAUAUGUGUGUAUAUAUGUACAAAAAAUAAUAUACAUACAUACAAAAAAUAAUACAUAUAUACAAAAAAUAAAACAUACAUACAUACAUACUAUAUAUAUAUAUACUACAAAUAUUAUAUUAAAAAAAUAAUACAUACAUUCAUACAUACAAACAAUUAUAAUUCAUACAUACAAACUAUAUAUAUGUGUGUAUAUAUGUACAAAAAAUAAUAUACAUACAUACAAAAAAUAAUACAUAUAUACAAAAAAUAAAACAUACAUACAUACAUACAUACAUACUAUAUAUAUAUACUACAAAUAUUAUAUUAAAAAAAUAAUACAUACAUUCAUACAUACAAACAAUUAUAAUUCAUACAUACAAACUAUAUAUAUGUGUGUGUAUAUAUAUGUACAAAAAAUAAUAUACAUACAUACAAAAAAUAAUACAUAUAUAAAAAAAUAAAACAUACAUACAUACUAUAUAUAUAUACUAGAAUAAUAUAUUAAAAAAAUAAUACAUACAUACAUACAAACAAUUAUAAUUCAUACAUACAAACUAUAUAUAUGUGUAUAUAUGUAUAAAAAAUAAUAUACAUACAUACAAAAAAUAUUACAUAUAUAUACAUAUAAAUAUAUACAAAAAAUAAUACAACAAAUCAAAACACCAUAUAUACAUAUAUAUAUACAUAAAAAUAUAUACAAAAAAUAAUACUACAAAUCAAAACACCAUAUAUAUAUAUAUAUAUAUAUAUAUAUAUAUAUAUAUAUUGAUUUGUAGUAUUAUUUUUUGUAUAUAUUUUUAUGUAUAUAUAUGUAAUAUUUUUUGUAUAUAUAUUUCUGGUCUAGCUAAUGUAUAUAAAUACAUAAUUAAUCAAUGGCGUUCUCGAUCUAUACUUAGCACCGGCCGGAAGAAGAUCGACGUGGGAUGUUUUGGAGGCCCGCGCGCUCGAUCUGGCCGUGGCCCGCGGCGGCGGCGUUGGAGGAGGGGCGCGGCGGCGCUGGUGGAGAGCCGCGGCGGCGCUGGUGGAGACGGUGGUCGCGGCGGCGAGGGAGUCGAGAAACGACGGCGGCGAAGACGAUGAACCCGGCGGCGCUGGAACGAAGACGAAGACGAAAGAACUGCCGGAUCCAGGAUGCCUGUGGCUUAUAUAGGGACGGACCCUUUAGCACCGGUUUCCACUUUGGGCCGGUGCUAAAGGCCCAUUUUUUUGUUUAGGGUUUUUCAAUUGUUUUAUAUGUACAGUUUAUAUUAUAAAUUGUAUAGUAAAUUAAAUAUUUUGCAUAAUGUUUUUUAAACAGUGACAUAUAUUGUAAUUUGUUUUAAUGUACACAUAAAAAUUUUUAAACUUAAAUAUCUUAUUGUAUUUUUAUAAUUUACAAUGAUUUUGUAAGAAAUGUUUAGUAUUUUGUUAAUGCAAAAAUAUAUUAUUCCAAUAAAUUUACAAAAACUAUAUCCAAUGAACUGGAAAUUUAUUUUCACAUCAUAUUGACGUAAAACUUUUUAUUUUUGUUAUUUAUUACUAGGAAUGCUACUUGGGUAUAAUUUUCAUCAAAUAAAAAAUCAUAUAAAAAUAUAUAUCUUGAUGAACAAACCCUUUGACCGAACCCUAGAUUGUCCCAAAUGGAAAAGUCAUGAAUACAAAGUUUGCUACACUCAUCAAGUUCUACAUUUUGUCUAAUGGUCAACUUUUCAUUUGGAAAAGUUUGAACCACUGAAUUUUGAAUUUUCAUGGAACUCAUAGCCACGCAGCGGUUUCGGAACCCUACAUGGUCUCGAAUGGAAAAGUCAUGAAUACCAAUAUUGUUCCACUCAUCAAAAUCUACAUUUCAUAUAUAGACCAUUUUUGCAUUUGACAAAGUUUUGGGAAGGUGUAGUUGAAAAUCCACAAUUGACACAUAUAGUUUCAUAUAGUUUGUGUGAGAACUUAGAAUUGGUGGGUAUUGUUAAAUUAGAUUUUCUCAAAUGGAAAAGUUGUGUAUAUAAAAAGUUUAGAUCUUGAAGAUAUCUAACAACUUGGUAUUCAAAAUAUUUUCAUUUGAAGUAAUUUAGUUUGUCAUUUGACCAAGUUUGACCGAAACCCGUCUUGGAUUUUAUAGAAAUGUAACUAGAAUUGGCUCAAAAUUAUCCAAAUGGAAAAAUGGACAAUAUAUAAAAUAUAGAUUUUGAUGAUCUCUAACAACUUUGUAUUCAAACUUUUUUCAUUUCAAGUCAUCAAAUGGGCUAUUUGACCAAGUUUGACCAAAGUCAAAGCAUUGGUUUUUACAAACACACCCUUUGACCGAACCCUAGAUUGUCCCAAAUGGAAAAGUCAUGAAUACAAAGUUUGCUACACUCAUCAAGUUCUACAUUUUGUCUAAUGGUCAACUUUUCAUUUGGAAAAGUUUGAACCACUGAAUUUUGAAUUUUCAUAGAACUCAUAGCCACGCAGCGGUUUCGGAACCCUACAUGGUCUCGAAUGGAAAAGUCAUGAAUACCAAUAUUGUUCCACUCAUCAAAAUCUACAUUUCAUAUAUAGACCAUUUUUGCAUUUGACAAAGUUUUGGGAAGGUGUAGUUGAAAAUCCACAAUUGACACAUAUAGUUUCAUAUAGUUUGUGUGAGAACUUAGAAUUGGUGGGUAUUGUUAACUUAGAUUUUCUCAAAUGGAAAAGUUGUGUAUAUAAAAAGUUUAGAUCUUGAAGAUAUCUAACAACUUGGUAUUCAAAAUAUUUUCAUUUGAAGUAAUUUAGUUUGUCAUUUGACCAAGUUUGACCGAAACCCGUCUUGGAUUUUAUAGAAAUGUAACUAGAAUUGGCUCAAAAUUAUCCAAAUGGAAAAAUGGACAAUAUAUAAAAUAUAGAUUUUGAUGAUCUCUAACAACUUUGUAUUCAAACUUUUUUCAUUUCAAGUCAUCAAAUGGGCUAUUUGACCAAGUUUGACCAAAGUCAAAGCAUUGGUUUUUACAAACACACCCUUUGACCGAACCCUAGAUUGUCCCAAAUGGAAAAGUCAUGAAUACAAAGUUUGCUACACUCAUCAAGUUCUACAUUUUGUCUAAUGGUCAACUUUUCAUUUGGAAAAGUUUGAACCACUGAAUUUUGAAUUUUCAUAGAACUCAUAGCCACGCAGCGGUUUCGGAACCCUACAUGGUCUCGAAUGGAAAAGUCAUGAAUACCAAUAUUGUUCCACUCAUCAAAAUCUACAUUUCAUAUAUAGACCAUUUUUGCAUUUGACAAAGUUUUGGGAAGGUGUAGUUGAAAAUCCACAAUUGACACAUAUAGUUUCAUAUAGUUUGUGUGAGAACUUAGAAUUGGUGGGUAUUGUUAACUUAGAUUUUCUCAAAUGGAAAAGUUGUGUAUAUAAAAAGUUUAGAUCUUGAAGAUAUCUAACAACUUGGUAUUCAAAAUAUUUUCAUUUGAAGUAAUUUAGUUUGUCAUUUGACCAAGUUUGACCGAAACCCGUCUUGGAUUUUAUAGAAAUGUAACUAGAAUUGGCUCAAAAUUAUCCAAAUGGAAAAAUGGACAAUAUAUAAAAUAUAGAUUUUGAUGAUCUCUAACAACUUUGUAUUCAAACUUUUUUCAUUUCAAGUAAUCAAAUGGGCUAUUUGACCAAGUUUGACCAAAGUCAAAGCAUUGGUUUUUACAAACACACCCUUUGACCGAACCCUAGAUUGUCCCAAAUGGAAAAGUCAAGCCGACACAACAGUGAACUUCUUCUUGACGUAUGACCCUUGGUUAUGAUCCUGCCGUAACCAUGGAGUAUCCUCAUUGUUUAACAGAAUGCUUGGGUCUUUGUUGACUAUGAAGGGCGGAAUUCGAUCAUCCCUUUCGUAAUCGCCUGACAUGUCUGACUUUUCCUCAAUUCCGACAAUGUUUCUUUUCCCAGAAAGGACAAUGUGGCGCUUUGGCUCAUUGAUGAUUGAGUGGUCAUCAUUUUUUCCUCUCUUUGGUUUCGUAGACAUAUCUUUGACAUAGAACACCUGACUCACGUCUGCAGCAAGGACGAAUUGUUCGUCUUUGAACCCACUAUUGUUAAGGUCCACGGUUGUCAUCCCAUACUCCUUGUCGACUGUUACCCCACCUCCGGUCAUCUUCACCCAUUGGCACCGGAACAAAGGAACUUUAAAAUUAGCUGCAUAGACUAGUUCCCAUAUGUCUUCUAUGCGUCCAUAAUAUGUUUGCCUGUUCCCAUUUGGAUCCGUGGCAUCCACGCGUACACCACUAUUUUGGUUGGUGCUCCUUUUAUCUUGGCCAACUGUGUAAAAUGUGUUACCAUUUAUCUCGUACCCUUUGUAUGUGAUGACAUGCCAUGAUGGUUGCCUGGCCAACAAAUAAAGCUGCUCAUCAAUGUUUUCAUCACCUUGACAUUUUUUGCGCAACCAAUCGCCAAAAGUUUCCAUGUGCUGACGCAUUAUCCAAGCUUCAUUCUUCCCGGGCCACUGGGACCGUAGGUAAUCUUUGUGUACCUCAACAUAUGGUUCCACCAAUGAGGAGUUCUGGAGAACUGUGUAGUGUGCUUUAUUGAAGUAAUCGUUUCCCGUACCAAUAUAUGUUUUCUUCCCAAGUGUUCCCUUUCCGCUGAGUCUGCCCUCGUGUCGAGAUUCAGGAAUGCCAAUUGGGUCAAGGUCUGGAAUAAAGUCAACACAGAACUCUAUGACCUCCUCUGUUCCGUAGCCCUUGGCAAUGCUUCCUUCUAGCCGGGAACGACUAUGGACAUAUUUCUUUAGGACACCCAUGAAUCUCUCGAAGGGGAACAUGUUGUGUAGGAACACAGGACCGAGAAUACGAAUCUCUUUGACCAGAUGAACUAGGAGGUGUGUCAUGAUAUCGAAGAAGGAUGGAGGGAACACCAACUCAAAGCUGACGAGACAUUGAACGACAUCAUUCUGCAGAGUAGCUAGUUGCUCUGGAUUGAUUGCCUUCUGAGAAAUUGCAUUGAGGAAUGCACAUAGCUUUACGGUGGCUAGACGUACGUGUGGAGGUAGAAUUCCUCUUAAAACGACCGGCAGCAAUUGCGUCAUUAGAACGUGACAGUCAUGGGACUUCAAGUUCAGGAAUUUCUUCUCUGGCACAUUAAUUAUUCCCUUGAUAUUGGAGGAGAAUCCAGAUGGGACCUUGAUGCUGCUAAGACAUUCAAACAUGCUUUCCUUCUCUUCUUUGCUCAGAGUGUAGCUAGCAGGGCUUAAGUAAUGACGUCCAUCAUCUGUCUUUUCUGGAUGCAGGUUGUCUCGUUCUUUCAUGCGCUGCAAGUCUUGUCGUGCUUCAAGUGAAUCCUUAGACUUCCCGUAGACACCCAUGAAUCCGAGCAAGUUCACACAAAGAUUCUUUGUCAGGUGCAUCACGUCGAUCGCGUUGCGGACCUCUAGGACAUUCCAGUAAGGUAGCUCCCAAAAUAUGCAUUUCUUCUUCCACAUGGGUACGUGUCCCUUAGCAUCCUUGGGAAUAGGUUCGCUGCCUCGUCCCUUUCCAAAUACCACUUUUAUAUCCUUGACCAUUUCGAGUACAUCAUCCCCGGUUCGAUUGAGAGGUUUGGUCCGGUGGUCUGCCUUGCCUUUAAAAUGCUUGCCUUUCUUUCGUACUGGGUGGUUCACAGGAAGAAACCGACGGUGGCCAAGGUACACGACCUUUCGACAUUUUUUCAAAAAUACACAGUCAAGGUCUUCAUAACAAUGUGUGCAUGCAUUAUAUCCCUUGUUUGACUGGCCUGAAAGAUUACUCAGAGCUGGCCAAUCAUUGAUUGUUACAAACAGCAAUGCUCGUAGGUCAAAGUGCUCUUGUUUGUACUCAUCCCACACGCGAACUCCUGGUUUGCUCCAUAAAAGUUGAAGUUCCUCAACUAAUGGCCUAAGGUAGACAUCUAUGUCAUUGCCAGGUUGCUUCGGUCCUUGGAUAAGCACCGGCAUCAUAAUAAACUUCCGCUUCAUGCAUAGCCAUGGAGGAAGGUUGUAGAUACAUAGAGUAACUGGCCAAGUGCUGUGACUACUGCUCUGCUCACCGAAAGGAUUCAUACCAUCUGUACUUAAGGCGAACCGCAAGUUUCUAGCAUCAUUUGCAAAAUCUGAGAAUUCUCUGUCUAUCGCUCUCCACUGGGAUCCAUCGGCAGGGUGUCUCAGCAUAUUGUCUAUCUUACGGUCUUCUUUAUGCCACCGCAACAACUUUGCAUUGUCCUUAUUUCUGAACAGACGUUUUAAUCGUGGUAUUAUAGGAGCAUACCACAUAACCUUGGCUGGAAUUUUCUUCCUAUGACGUUCUUCACCCUCAACAUCGCCAGGAUCAUCUCGCCUAAUCUUAUACCGUGAUGCCUUACAUACUGGACAUGCAUCCAAAUUCUCGUAUUCCUCCCCACGGUAGAGGAUGCAGUCAUUAGGACAUGCGUGUAUCUUCUGGAUUUCUAAUCCCAAAGGGCAGACAACCUGUUUUGCUUCACACGUAGUGGUGGGCAAUUCGUUGCCUUUCGGAAGCAUCUUUUUUAUGAUCUUCAAUAACUGCCCAAAUGCCUUGUCAGAUGUACCAUUCUUUGCCUUUCAUUGCAGCAAUUCUAGUGUGGUACCCAGCUUUUUUUGCCCCUCUUCAGCGGUGGGAUAUAGCGAUUUCCUGUGGUCCUCUAGCAUGCGCUCGAACUUGGCUUUCUCUUUAUCACUUUCACAUUCUCUUUGUGCAUCACGGAUGGCAUCACCAAAAGCAUCAUCGCCCCGAUCAUCUUCUGCCGCCACCUCUUCUUCAUUAUCUCCCCCCAUUGCAACAUCAUUGAAGCCACCGUACUGAGCAAUAAUAUUGGCAUGGUCCAAUUCUUCUUCUUCUUCUUCUUCUUCACCUUCAUCCAUUAUAAUCCCGCUUUCUCCAUGUUUGGUCCAACAAAUAUAGUUUGGUACGAAACCAGACUUUAAUAAGUGUGAAUGAAGAGUUCUUGAGUUAGAAUAUUCCGUCAAAUUCUUGCACACGGCACAUGGACAGCACAUGAAACCGUCCCUCUUAUUUGACUCGGCCACACUUAAGAAAUAGUGCACGCCAUUAAUGAACUCUUCGGAGCGCCGAUCGGCAUUAUACAUCCAAUUACGUGUUACCAUCUGCAUUAAAGAUAACAUAUAUAUUAUGAAAACCAUGCACACAUAUAGUUUCUCAUCUUAUUGCACAACAUGUCUAAGAUACAUAGUUGAUUAAUUUAGAAAAGCUUGGCUACAACAAAUACAAUCGCAACUAGCAUUAAAAAAAAACAAAACUAAAAUGCACUUAAGCAACAUAAUUAGUUCGCGUCCGAUCCCAACUAUAAUAGAUAGAUCAUUCGCUUGAUCAACAUCAUUGAACUUCUUUCGUCGGCUCACUGCCUCACCACCUUCAGCCUCAACCACCUGUGCAAAAGAUUUCUUAAUGUGUUCAAUGUAUUCUUCCUCCCAGUACCAACCUGUACAUCCGCCGGUACCGUCCCACUGAAAUUAAAAGAGAGAAUCAAAAGUUUAAUUAAUAUCAUUUAAAAAAAUAUGCACAUAUAUAAGCAAAUGUCUGGAAAUAACUCACAUUACGAUCUGGACACUUGUAGAAUAUACGACCCUUGUUUACUCCCUCUUUCGACACUUUGUACUCCAUCAAAAUCUUCUGCCCACACUUGCCACAAGUAAUGAGAGGGAGUUCCGGACGGUAUCGCUUUUGAACCCGUUGAGAGACGGAAGACCCGGUCACGGUUGCCAUCUACUAUCCAUACUCAAUUUUAAAACAAUUAUAAAUUCCACAUUUACUAGUAAACAUGUAUGAUACAAUGGACAUUAUAUGUAGUAAUAAAAAUAAAUCAAGUGAUAUUAACAAACCAAUUAAUUUGAACUAUCCUACUUUCUAUGAUCAUAAAAAUAUACUAUAAUUCAUUCUUGCAAAAUAUAUUAAAACUAGGUCAACCAUGAAAUAUGAUAUAUAUAUAUGGAUACUAAUUCAUGUGAAUGAUUCAAAAUAACAAAGUGGAUUUGAGCUAAAAAAUGAUGGGAACAUCACAAGCCAAAAACAACAUGAAAAAGACAAGAAAGGCUGAAGUUAGUCACCUCUAAGCGCGAAGAGACGAUGACGGAGUCGAAGAAGAUCAACGAUGGGCGUUGGAGAUGAAGAACAAAUGAAGAACAAGCAAGAAGAAGCUCCAAGAACAACAAUGGUGCUCUCGGUUUCAAAUGGGCAGAGGGGAGGAGGGAGCCGGCCUAUAAACCAGACCUUUAGCACCGGUUCAGAGCAAAAACCGGUGCUAAAGGGUUACCUUUUAGCACCGGUUUGUAACACAAACCGGUGCUAAAGGGUUUGCCUCGGCCCGUGGCUCUGGCCGGUGCUAAAGGGACCCCUUUAGCACCGGUUCUGGUUAAAAACCGGUGCUAAAGGGUCCCUGCCCCGACAGCACAUGUCAGUAGCCGUUGGGCAGGACCCUUUAGCACCGGUUUGUCACACGAACCGGUGCUAAAGGGGUCUUUAACCCCGGGCCGCAAAAAGGCCGAGGUUUUUGGCCAUUUUGGGCAUCGACCAAUGCCUCAUUCUGUAGUAGUGUAAGUGAAUUAAGAACAAAUAAAGGGGGUCUCGAUGGUUUAAAACAACUAGAAUUUGGCUUAUUUACAAACCCAAUGAAAUAAAUCAUGAGUCGGAGUUGAAUAUGAGGAUUGUUUACCUUCUGGUUUGCGCACUCUUAUCUCACACUCAUGUGAGCCUUCGAAAGCAGUAAUCCAGAUUGUAUCCAGAGGAGGGACCAGUGCCAAAGGCACCGGCGGCUCCAUUCGCACUAGUCGACAUAGUGCGUUGCUCGAAGUAGCGGACCACAGUCGGUGCAGGAAGAUGUUCGCAGUGCAGUCCCGCGAACGGCCACCAGGAAGAAGACGAAGACGCCGUAGUCGAUCUCGAUCCGCGCGGACGUCCACCAGGAAGAAGACAACGAACUCGCCGAUGAGCAGUCGCGGAAGACGCUCCCCAAAAAACCUGAUUGCCCGCAACACCCGAGCAGGAGUCUCGUUGCAAGGCGUCGGGUUCCGGAGGCCUGCUCUCCCGAUCUCUGUGCACGCAGAGGUUCGGAACGGGAAUGGACAGAAAGCAACUCGACAGGAGAGAGAGGACUGAAUGUGUUCUCGCUAGUAUGGAAAGAGUGAGUGCGUAUGUAAUAUAUAGGCCUCAGGAGGAAACGUCUGAUUGAUGACAAUUAAUCUCAUUUAAUUGCCAUAAACCGAGUCAAUCAAUUAGCAAUUAAUUGCCAUUAAUUACACAACGGUCAGAUCCCAUUUUCCUCCCUUUCCUUAUUCACCACGCAUGUGCCACGUCACGUAUGGUCUGGUCCUCGUGUGCCACGUCACGCUCGCUCGUCUCGACCUAGACAAGACAAUACAAGACACGUCACGCCACGGCUCGACGGCGGCGGCGGCGCGCACGUGUGGCACCCCUUCACCCUCCCUCAACUUCUCCAUAGGGGCUAACAAAGACCACCUAUUUAAGUUGAGUUAACACAUGGUCAAUCAUCAAUAUGGUACUAAACUAUUUUCAUUAUAGCAUUAAUUAUGGGCCCUUGAAUUAAUCAUCAAAUAUAAUUAUGGGCUAAAAAGGCCCAUUAUAUUCAACCCACCUAUUUCUAGGGCACAUAAGAAAAGCUCUCGAGUUUCCAUGUCGUUUCAUAUACCAGUCGUUUCGGUGGAGACUGUUAAGUUGAACUUCCACCUAGAGUACAGACUACACUUAGCCACAACUUGAACAAUGGACUAUGCCUUGAAUUGCAAGUUUUGUGUGAUAUAAGUUUCAUCUACACUCAUAACUGAUACCGGGUUGCAUGAACAUCCCCUCUGGUUGAAACAUAUAAGUCAUACUUCUGGUCCAUUCAUGAGUAUCUAGAGAUCACCCAAAAUCUCAUAGACUGUGACUAGCAGUCAAACUCAUAUAGGUGUAUUCCUUAAAGAUGUUCUGUAGGACAACAUCUAUCGCUUCACAAGCCGCUUUGGAAUACAUUAAGGUAUAUAACCAGCCUUCCUUAGAGACUUAGGAAAGAAGUGCAAUUGAGAUGAGUUAAGUAAAGGGUCUUUCCUCACAAUCUACUUCUGGCUUGUUUCACCAUUCUACUUCACGGGAUCUCCGAUCACAUAGAACAGGUUGCCACCAUGGUAGACCUCACGUGGGUCUCAAACCCAUCUCACUCGAUGCACUAUCUAUCACAUUACGUGAUAGUCCCUUUGUGAAUUGAUCUGCCAGAUUCUUGGACGUAUGAACAUAGUACAAUGCUAUAACUCCAGAGUUUCUCAAUUUUCUGACAGUCUUCAAACGCCGUUUGACAUGCCUAGUAGACUUCAUGUUGUCCUUAGAACUGUUGACUUUAGUGAUCACUGUUUGAUUGUCACAGUUCAUGGAAAUAGCCAGCACAGGUUUUUCAACCACCGGUAGAUCCAUCAGGAGUUCACGACGCCACUCGGCCUCAGCACCGGCGGUGUCUAAUGUUGUGAGUUCUGCUUCCAUGGUUGACUUCGUUAAGAUAGUCUGCUUGCAAGACUUCCAUGAAACAGCGCCACCUCCAAGUAUAAACACAUAUCCACUUGUGGCCUUUAACACAUCAGCAUCAGAUAUCCAAUUUGCAUCACAAUAACCCUCUAAUACCUUCGGGUAUCCGGUAUAGUGAAUGCCAUAGCUCACUGUACCUUUCAGAUAGCGCAUCACUCUCUCAAGAGCUUGCCAAUGAAUAUCUCCCGGAUUUGACACAAACCGGCUAAGUUUGCUCACUGCAAACGAGAUAUCAGGCCUCGUGGCACUAGCAAGGUACAUCUAUGAGCCUAUAAUUUGGGAGAAUCUUAGUUGAUCACUUGCUAUUCUUCGAUUUUUCCUCAAUAGCACACUAGGAUCAUAAGGCGUAGGAGCAGAUUGACAGUCACUGUACCCAAAGCGACUUAAAAUCUUUUCCACGUAGUGGGACUGCACAAGUGUAAUCCCACCAUUGCCUUCUCUUGAAAGCUUAAUGUUUAGAAUAACAUCAGCUUCUCCCAAAUCUUUCAUCUCAAAGUUAUUAGACAAAAAGUCUUUAACUUCCUUGAUCACAACAAGGCUUGUCCCAAAGAUCAGUAUGUCAUCCAUGUACAGACAAAGGAUCACACCUUCACCCCCACCAAACCGAUAGUACACACAUUUGUCAGCUUCAUUAACAGCAAAGCCGGCAGAAGUUAAGGUUCUGUCAAACUUCUCAUGCCAUUGUUUUGGAGCUUGUUUUAGGCCAUAAAGGGAUUUUAAUAACUUACAUACCUUGCCCUUUUGACCACUUGUUACAAAUCCAUCAGGCUGAUCCAUAUAGAUCUCUUCCUCUAACUCUCCAUUUAGGAAAGCUGUCUUCACAUCCAUCUGAUGAAUGAGAAGACCAUGGGAGGUAGCCAAAGACAGUAACACUCGAAUUGUGGUCAAACGGGCAACAGGUGAAUAAGUAUCAAAGAAAUCUUCCCCUUCUCUUUGGGUAUAACCCUUAGCCACAAGCCUAGCCUUGUACCUCUCAAUAGUACCAUCAGGCCUAAGCUUUUUCUUGAACACCCAUUUACACCCUAUAGGUUUACACCCAUAAGGUCGUUCAACCACUUCCCAAGUUCCAUUAGACAUUAUAGAAUCCAUCUCAUUCCUUAUUGCUUCCUUCCACAAGUCAGCAUCAGGAGAGGAAAAUGCCUCUUUAAUGGUUGUUGGGGUAUCAUCUACGAGGUACACAAUAUAGUCAUCUCCAAAAGACUUCACUUUUCUUUGUCUUUUGCUCGUUCGAGUGACUACAUUAUCAUCCUCCUCAGGAUAGUGAACAUGGGGUUCCUCAGAUUGUUCUAUCGGAAUAAAUUGCUCAUGGGAGUUUAUAGACUCAUGACUAGAAAUAUUAGGUGUACUUUUCAUAGAAAACUCACUUUCAAAGAAUGUUGCAUCUCUAGAUUCCAUUAUAGUAACAACAUGCAUAUCUGGUACUCCAGAGUUUAUAAUUAAAAACCUAUACCCUAUGCUGUGAGUAGCAUAACCAAGGAAAAUACAGUCAACUGUCUUAGGUCCGAGUUUGCGUUUCUUGUUUAUUGGCACAUUCACUUUAGCCAAACAACCCCAAGUACGCAAAUAGGAGACAUUUACUCUUUUCUUUUUCCAUUCCUCAAAUGGUGUGAUUUCUUUAUUCUUUGUAGGAACUCUAUUUAGGACAUGACUCGCUGUCAAUAUCGCCUCACCCCACCAUUCCUUAGAUAGACCCGAAGUCUCUAACAUGGCGUUAACCAUCUCAGUUAGAGUACGGUUCUUUCUUUCGGCAAUCCCAUUGGACUGUGGUGAGUAUGGCGGUGUCCUCUCAUGAAUAAUUUCAUGUUCUACGCAGAAGUGAGAAAAAUCACUUGAAAAAUAUUCUCCACCACGAUCGGACCUUAAGCGUUUAAUUUUCCUCUCAAGUUGAUUUUCUACUUCAGCUUUAUAGGCUUUAAAAUAUUGUAAUGCUUCAUCCUUUGUUUUAAGAAAGUACACAUGACAAAAUCUAGUACAAUCGUCUAUAAAAGUGAUGAAGUAUCGUUUACCACCUUUAGUCAACUCACCAUUUAUCUCGCAUAGAUCGGAAUAGAUUAGUUCUAAUGGUGCCAAGUUCCUCGCCUCCGCAGCCUUGUGAGGCUUGCGAGGUUGCUUGGCUUGCACGCAUACAUGGCACUUAGAACCUUUGACUAAAUUAAAUUUCGGAAUUAAAUUCAUAUUUGCUAGCCGCGUUAAACAACUAUAAUUAACAUGACAGAAUCGCGAAUGGCAAAUAUUCGACUCAUUCGAAAUCACAGUAUGGUUCACGAUUUUAUUACAUACAUCAUGCAUGGAUAAGUGGAAUAAGCCUCCGCAAUCAUAACCUUUACCAAUAAAAGUUCCAAACUUUGAAAGUAUAACUUUAUUGGCCUCAAAGACUAUUUUGUAGCCAUCUCUACAAAGCUGUGAGCCGCUAACUAGAUUCUUUUUGAUGGAGGAGACAUGCUGCACGUUCUUCAUCAGCACUGUCUUUCCCGAAGUGAACUUCAGAAUGACCGUAUCAACACCAAGAACACGCGCAUGAGAGUCGUUCCCCAUUAGUAAGGCUCCAGUGUUGCCGGCCUGAUAAGAAGAAAAUAAAGAGAUGUCAGCACACACAUGAACAUUAGCCCCAGUAUCCAUCCACCACUCAGGUGAAUGACAGACUGAAAGAACAGUAGGUAAAUAAUUACCAUACCCAGAUGUUCCUCCUUCAGCCUCGCCAAUGACCAUGUUUACUGACUUUUUCUCUUCUCGUUUAAAUUUGCGGUCUGGACAACCACUCGCCCAGUGGUCAUCGCUACCGCAAACAAAGCAGCCACCAUCUGCCUUUUUCUUCUUAAAAGUUGCAGUUUGUUUUGGCUUUAGGUUUGCUCCUUGCUUGUUCUCUUGCUUGUUCUUUUUCUUAUUACGGAAUGCGAAUUGCUUUUUCUUCUGCACCACAUUGGCACUAGAAGACUCAACGCCUUUCCCAUGUGUAUCUUUUGCUCUCGCCUUCUCAACAUCAAGAGUCCCCAUGAGUUCAGCAAGACCAAACUCUUUCCUCUGAUGUUUUAGAGAAGUAGCAAAAUCCUUCCAAGAAGGUGACAGCUUAGCGAUUAUACCGCCGGCCUCAAACUUUUCAGGCAAUACACAAGGAAAUUGUUCUAGUUCCUUAGCUAGUGUUUGUAUCUCAUGUGCUUGUUCACAGAACGGCUAUCCACCAUCUUGUAAUCAAACAAUUGUUCCAUGAGGUACAGCUCGCUACCAGCAUCAGAAACCCCGAACUUGGCCUCAAGCGCAUCCCAUAAUUCUUUAGCCGUGGUGCAAAUAAUAUAGUUGUCGACAUACUUUUUAUCGAGCGCACUUAUGACGGCGCCUCUGAAGAGGUUAUCAGCAGCCAUGAAUGUUUUCUCCUUCUCAGAAGUAAACUGUUCCGGCUUCCCCUUCGCGACGUCAUAGCAACUCAUAGCAGUCAACCACAGUAUCAUUCUCGCGCGCCACCGCUUAUAGUUUGAACCAUCGAACGCAUCCGGUUUUAACGCAGCAGCAAAACCACUAACAGAAAAAUACCUAAUAUCAGGUUUUUAGAAUGUUAGAAAUUUAGACAUUUUAAUGUUUGAUUUAAUCCAGAAAAUUACCUAUAAAAUUGCGGUGGCAUAUAUGUGUACGUGUGCAAUUUUAUCACUACUCAGAUUAGAGAUAAACAUUGCAAGAACUACUGCAACUACAGCAGACAUACUGAAAGUAAAAAACAAUCGUUUAAGAUUGUACCCAGAGGAGGGACCAGUGCUGAAGGCACCAGCGGCUCCAUUCGCACUAGUCGACAUAGUGCGUUGCUCGAAGUAGCGGACCACAGUCGGUGCAGGAAGAUGUUCGCAGUGCAGUCCCGCGAACGGCCACCAGGAAGAAGACGAAGACGCCGUAGUCGAUCCAGGUGUCUCGUUGCAAGGCAUCGGGAUCCGGAGGCCUGCUCUCCCGAUCUCUGUGCGCGCAGAGGUUCGGAACGGGAAUGGACAGAAAGCAACUCGACAGGAGAGAGAGGACUGAAUGUGUUCUCGCUAGUAUGGAAAGAGUGAGUGCGUAUGGAAUAUAUAGGCCUCAGGAGGAAACGUCUGAUUGAUGACAAUUAAUCUCAUUUAAUUGUCAUAAACCGAGUCAAUCAAUUAGCAAUUAAUUGCCAUUAAUUACACAACGGUCAGAUCCCAUUUUCCACCCUUUUCUUAUUCACCACGCAUAUGUGCCACAAGACACGGCUCGGCGGCGGCGGCGCGCGCGUGUGGCACCCCUUCACCCUCCCUCAACUUCUCCAUAGGGGCUAACAAAGACCACCUAUUUAAGUUGAGUUAACACAUGGUCAAUCAUCAAUAUGGUACUAAACCAUUUUCAUUAUAGCAUUAAUUAUGGACCCUUGAAUUAAUCAUCAAAUAUAAUUAUGGGCUAAAGGCCCUUUAUAUUCAACAUGCCUCGCCUACAUGAAUAUAAAUACACACCAAAUGUUUCCAAACUAAAGGUGACAAAUUUGAAGUGAUUCUUUUAUCACCAACUAAGGCAUCCCUUUUAUAGGAGUGGCAUAAAAAAGAACUCAUAGAGAACCUUUUGCUCGCUCCUCGAAAAAAAACAAAAAAAAUAUAACUUCUAGCUCUGCCCUGAGUAUCAUGUGCGUGGAAUGAAAGAAGGCAAAGAGCUUACUAUGGAAAUGAGAGGCAUCAAGAAAUAAGAAAGCACGAGGGAAGCUUGGUCACGGCAUUGAAGCUUGGUCUCGUUGUAUUUUUUUACUCCGAUUAACAUGACAAAUUACUUUGCUGAAAUAAUGUUUGGCGAAGAGACCCCACUGCUUUUUACUCAACAGAUUUGUUAGGACUGCUUUUACUCGACAUUAUUAAACAAAAGGAUUGUUUAACAGUCCAACAAAAGAAUCUUUUAAACAGUCAGAAAAACAGUUUAAAUAGUGUGUUUAAAUCGUCAUACAUUUAUUUCUUAAGGUGGUUGGUGUUAUCGGUGACCUCUAAAAAUCAAUUUCUAGAGAUAGAUCUAAAAAAAUUAAAUACACUUUAAAAAUUGUUGAACUCUGCAUCUAAAACUAAUUGGAGCGGUUAUAUAUAUAAUUAGAAUUGAAACUCAAAGGAAUAUAUUAAAUAAAAAAUUCAAUAGAUUUAUUAGCAAACAAGUAGGAGUGCAAUGAAAAAUGCAUUAUAGUGGGAUUCAGCACGUAUUCAUAUGUGUCAUGACUAGGAAUGAAAACGGAUCGGAUACGAACGGAUACCACUGAUAUCAUAUUUGUUUUCAUAUUUUUGGUCGGAUUCGGAUUCGAAUACGGAUAAUAUCAACAAUGUUGGAUAAGAUACGAUUGGAUGUCGACAUCAUAAAUAUACGAUUCAAAUAUUCGGAUACGGAUACGGUAUCAGAUAUUAAACAUUCGAACUCGGAUACGGACAGAUCUCAACCUCUCUAAACGAAUUCGGUCUCGAAUACGGUCGGAAAAUAUCCGUACCAUUUUCAUCCCUAGUCAUGACUCAUGAUUUGGUUGAGGUGGAGGAGCUAAUGAACACCUUACACGCAGGUAGUGAGAAGGAGAAGAGUCAUACGAGGACUGUCGCCUUGGUAUUGACCUUGUUGGGAUGUGUCAUGGUAAAAUGGAAACCACACUCUUGCAUUGCCACCGGAGAUGCUAUGGUGAUGAGGAGAAGCAGCAGAAUGGGUGGGCUGUCGUGCUUGGCUCAUAGAGGCCAUUGCUCUCUUAUAUCAUAAGCUAGGGGUAUGGGUUAAAUUUCUUCUCCCGUUACAAGUUACUACAACACAAGGACAUGUUUGGUACGAAAUAAUAAAGAAGAAGAUGACUUGAUAGCAUGAUUAUAUUCAUGUGCAACUAUGAAUGUGUCCACAAAAUGUGUCUGGCCUCUACUUGAAUAUAAAAUUAUAAAUACACAACAAAUGUCUGCAAACAAAAGGUCACAAAUUUGAAGUGAUUCUUCCAACCAAUAUAUAUACUAGGGCACCCUUUCUUUGGAGCGACUUCAAGAAAACUGAGGGAACUUUUAGCUCUCGCUCCUCGCAAAAGCAAAAGCAAAAACAAAAACAAAAGAACUUUUAGCUCUGCCCUGUGUAUGAUGAUGUGCAUGGAAUAAUAUGCAAAGAACGCAAAGAGCUAAUGAUGGAAAUGAGAGGUAUCGAGAAACAAGACAGCAGGAGGGGCUUUCAUCCACAAAAAUAUCCGAUCCACAAGAGAUGUUGGAUCCAAAGUGAUGGGUACGUGUGCAGAGAGAGUUUUCACUUUUUAGACGUGGGUUGCUCGAUAACAACACGAUGGAGCAGUCAUGGAGGAUUACUGCCACGAUAGAGCCCAAUCUUGAAAAAUGCAUAAAAAAAGAAUUCGGCAAGGCGAGUUGAUAUCUGUGCAGGGUCGUGGAUUACGGUAGAGAGCUGAUGUGUUUUUUAUUUAUCAUUUCAUCUCAGCCGUUGGAUUACGGUAGAGCUGAUGUGUUUUGUGUGAGGAGAUGGGUGGAUGACACGUGGGUCUAGGGUGUAUAGCUGUCAGAGGGACACCUUAUUUCCUGCAUGUCACAGGUGUCAUGUGUUUUAUUAAACUGUCUGGCGUGUAGCGCUAGACCAUCCAGUAGGUCAUAUGCUAUACAAAAACUGUGUAGACUUGUCAGCUUGAUAUGCAAGUUUCUGAUAUUAUAUUUUUUUUUAAAGUACAGACUAAGCUUCUGAUACUUGUGAAAAAAGAGUUAACACGACUGGGCGUGAUAUAGUACGUGAAAUUAAAGAAGGUAUACUUAGGCCUUGUUUAGUUUGCAAAAAUUUUCAAGAUUCUCCGUCACAUCGAAUCUUUGGUCACAUACAUAAAGCACUAAAUAAAGAUAAAAAUAAAAACUAAUUACACAGUUUACCUGAAAUUUGUGAGAUGAAUCUUAUCAAGCAUGAGUCAACCCUCUCCCUCUCGCCGCUACGGAAGGGAGAGGAGGGGCCACAACACAACUGAAACUCGCUUGGGGCCCAUGGGCCUGCGGAGUACCUUCCAGAGGAAACCUCUCUACACGGACCCCCCCCCCCCCCCCUCCUCUCACCCGGUCAAGUUUCAGGCUUGGACUUUGUCCCUGACCUUGAGGAUUAUAGCGUGACAGACACAGCGUCACAUAGUAUUUUGCCUAAUAAACUCAUUUAAAUUGUCAUCUAUACAUGCGUAAAUGAGAAACUAUGGAUAUACAAUGUAGUUUAUUCCCUAAACAGGAAUUGAAAAACAUAUAAAUGGUAAAAAAAAGUUUCAACCAUGUAUUUUAUGUCGUGAUAAAAGUGGAAACGCAUGUUUGCAAUCCGAGAAUGGUGAGCAGAAGCGAUAGAAUGGGUGGGGUGUGUUGCUUAACUCGUAGAUGGCGUUGACCUGUGGUCAAGUCAUGUUUACUCUGCUCAUGACGUGUCUAUUUACAACACACACGCACAUACUCGUAGUAUCAAGUAAUAGAGGAGAAAGAUGCCUUGCGAGCAAGAGUCGCAAUUAUAGUAUUCUGCAUGCACAACUAUUGAAUGCAUCGAUAUAUACAUCGCCUACUUGAAUAUAAAUACACACAACAAAUGUUAGCAAAGUGAAGGUAACAAAUUGAAACGAUUCUCGAUCUUCAUUCUGACCAAUAUAUAUACACACAAGGGCACGUCCUUUCUUUGGAACCACAGCAAAUUAUCACUCAUAAAGAAAUUUUAGCUCGCUCCUGAAAAAAAAACACAUAACUUUUAGGUCUGCCCUGAGUCGUAUCAAUCAUGUGGAGUGCAAAGGAAGGCAAGCAGCAGAUGAUAGAAAUGAGAGGCAUCGAGAAACAACCUUGCAGUAGUAGUUUUCUUUCGAGCUUGGCUUAAAUUAUCCGAUCCCCAAGAAAUUUUAGCUCGCUCUCAAGCUAAGCAGCUGGGGUAUGAGAAUAUGGGCACGUUUCUUAUUCCACAAACUUCGUCCCGAAACGCGGGACAGGAAUAUCAUAGGACAUCAUUCCCAAAUGCAAUGGAACGCGAAUCGUAUCCAGAAGCAACAAGAGGAAUGUUGAGUACCAAACGCCUGUGGAACGUGACUCGCAGCCAUAGCGAUUCGGGGACAUACGAAGCUUAGGCGCGGAAGAAAACGCACCUCAAAAGAAGAUGAUGAUGAAUUGAUGUGAGAGGGCUAUGAGUAUCUAUUUUAACAAGCAUGUAGUCAUAUAAUCAUGUUCAUGUAGUACACCAGUGCACUUUUGCUUAAAUGGACAUAUUUGCUAGUAAUACUUACUCCAUCUAUUAUUGUUUGAUUUAGAUCAAAUCAUACAUGUAACAUUUGCCUAAUCUAUAUCUCCUAUAUAAAGAUAAACCCCACUAGCACAUAUAAUUACUCCCUCCGUUCUGCGUUCAACGGUAGUUGCGUGAAAGGAGGACGUUAGCUUGUUUCAAUGGCACUUUGGACGCUGAUGCCCCUCUGUGUGAGCCCGUUCACAUACUCUUGUCAUUAAUUGCGCCGUCCUCCAGUGAAGAGAUUGUGCGCUGAACGUCCAACGCAAGUCUAGCACCAUGCAAAAAUUUAAAAAAUACAGCAGCCCAAGUCCAGUACCAUGCAAAAUUUUAAAAAAUACAGCAGCCGCCACGAAUUGAACCGGCGACCUUUGGUCUUAGCUAUAGAGUCUUGGCCAGCUAAGUUACAAUUGACUGUUGUAGGGUAGCACCACACACUGUAUUUAAUAAAGACAAGACAGGAAAACUAACCCCUAAUUAAUCAUCCCUUGGUAAUCAUACUCAUGUUCUAAAUAUCAUCUAAUUAGGAUACAGAGGAAUAUGAUAGUUUCUCUUCAUCCACUAACAUGUAUUUGGUUCUCCACAAAGAUGUGUCAAUCCAUCCAUCAAAGUUAGUUUAAGAUAGUUUCACUCAUAUAACAAUAAAUAUAACCAAUCUAAUUUCUUUUUAAAUUAUUUGGAAUACCCACAACAACACGUGGGGUAUCUACCUAGUGUUUUUUAAUGACAUAUAUUUCUCGUUCCAUUUCGAUUUGGUACGUGUUCUCUUUCGAUUUGGUACACGUUUCGUAAACAUCUUCCUUAUUUUCGGGAACGUGUUCCAUGUCAUCGUUUUAUUUCGAUUUGGUACGUGUUCCGUUUAGGUUUGAUACGAGCUGCAGCUGUAUACCCCUCUCGUUCCAUAGGUUUUGAAGAUGUUGUACAGCGUACCACGUUUCCGUACCACGUCCCCAACGUUCGGGGAACAUGGCUGCUAAGCUCUGAAGACAGUGUCAAGAAAGAUGCCUUGAGAGCAAAAAAAAAGAGCCAUUGAGCCUUGACCACGUUUUCUAUUGGCCUGCGCUUCCCCUCUUUUUUUUCUUUUCUUUUUUUUGGUUCUAGCUUCCCAAAAAUUUCCGUGUUGUCACAUGGUAUGUAGCUUCCGGUUAUUAGUCUAAAGCUACCAUUUUAUUUAUCAUUUCAUCUCGGCCGUUGAAAGUUUAUAUUUUCACGGAUUAAUAUGAGAAUUUAUUGAGUAUCAUACAUAGUGCAAUGGUACGGAUACAGGAAGCAAUCUAUAGGUUAGGAGUUUGACUUCCCCGUUCUCAAAAAAAAAAAGGGCCACGUGCUCCUUGUGCUAUAUUGGAGCCACCCUGUCUUCGGCGGGACAUAUACGGAUAGUAGCGAAGCUAGAGUAAAAUUAAGAGGGUGCAUUUGGUUUUUGAUGUAUAAACUUGUGUUAUUAGAGCAUUUUCAAGAUAUUAGCUAAAUCAUUUUCUUAAGAUAAAUUUAGCUAUUUGAAGAAAAAAAUUUUCCAACAGACUCUGUAAAUAACUCUCCAAUCUAUCACUACACCACAGCCCUAAUACAGCGUCACAUAUGUGUCGUUAUAAAUGAACUAGUACCAUUCAAUAUUCAGUCGGUAUACCAUGUCUACCGAUUAUUUGUCGGAAAACAUUUGUUUGGCAUUCGAGCAUCGGUCGUUAUAAAUUUUGGGCUAUAUGGUUCAACGAUUUAUCGGGACAGUUCAUCAAAGAGAGCCCACCAUUGGUCGGAAUAGGGCCAUACCCCUUCGGCGCCCGGCCCGUUUAGAAGAGCCCCAAACCCUAACUUAUCCCCUCCUGCCGUCCACUCCUGUGCGCCCGAAAUAGAGAAGAGGAGACGGCGGCGCGUAGGCGACUGGUGGCGGCGCGUACACGGCGGCGCGAAGGCGACUGGCGGCGGCGCGACUGGCGACUGGCGGAGGAGCGAGGAGCUCGUUCAAGCUGGAGCACACCCUCGGUUCGUAAGUACCCCCGGCCUCCAAUCCCUUCCCUGUUCCAAGUCGCUGCUCCAAUCCCCUCCCCGACCUGGAGAAGCUGCCGUCGCAGCCGGCGGCGAGCUUCCACAUGAAGCGUGUCACGAUGUGGUGCACGGCCACCAGCGUCUCCACCUUGGCGAACUCGUUCCCGGGGCAGAUGCGCGCGCCGCCGCCGAACGGGAAGAUGGCCGGGGUCGAACCGGCCGGGGUCCGGGAAGAUGGCCGGGCUCCACUGCAUGGAAGGAUUAGUGAUUCCCUGUUUUGCUCUCUAGAUGCUUUGAUUCAGUUUAGAAUUUAUUUAUAUUUGGGCUUUGAGGCUGGAUACUUUAUAGUUUGCAUAUCCAGUUAGAGCAACUCCCUUUCUAUGUAUCUUCAACUAUCAUUUUAGUCUUCUAUGUAUUCAGAGAUAUUUGCAUUGAUAUUCAGAACUAUUUGCAUUGGUAUUUAGUAAUAUUUGCAUUGGUAUUCAGAAAUAUUUGCAUUGGUAUUCAGAAAUAUUUGCAUUGGUAUUCAAAAAUAUUUGCAUUGGUAUUCAGAAAUAUUUGCAUUGGUAUUCAGAAAUAUUUGCAUUGGUAUUCAGAAAUAUUUGCAUGGGUAAUCAAAUCUACUUGUACAUGUACUCAUCUUAUGUCAUGUGUACUCACACUACAGGUGCCUUGUUGAGUUGGUGUUGUAGCUGAAAGAAUCUCCACAGGACCGUUUACUCCAGCUUUAAGCCUAAGUGGCAACGGUAUGAUCCUCUAUCUGCAGCUACAUGCCAUCUUUGUUAAUAUUGUUUGAGAUCAUGAACACGACAAUCGUGUUUAAAUUAAAGCUGCUUAUGGUAUUUAUUUAUUUUAUAGUUCAUUUCUAAAGUUGCUUGAUAUUUCACAAAGAAGGAUGGAUAAAUCAUGGAUCGAUAAUGAUGCUAGGUACCAACACUAUUUUUAGAAAGACUAAAAGUUCUAUCUUCAGUUAACAUAGGAAUUAACUUAAAAACUGCAUGUAGGCACACCGAGAUGUAUCAACAAGGGGUGAACAAUUUCAUAGCUUUUGCAUUUGAGAAUUCAGCUGUAGGAAGCAAGAUAUUAUGCCCUUGUACAAAGUGUGUUAACUCAUUUUGGAAAGAGGGAAGUGAAGUACGUGAGCAUUUGAUAUGUGAUGGGUUUUUAAAAGGGUACAGGACAUGGACCUUACAUGGAGAAGUUAGCUCUUAUUUGAAUCAUGGAAAUGAUGGUGUUGAACUUAUGGAGGAGACUGACGAAGAUGAUAACAUCUCUGAUUUCCUUAGAGAUUUAGCUGCUGGUAUAGAUGACAGAGGGGAUUUUGAUCACAACAAUGAAGACCUAGAGCCCUGUGCAGAGCUAGCUGCCAUUAAAAAGUUAGUAUCAGAGAAUAAAAAAGAGUUAUACCCUGGUUGCAAGAAAUAUACACAGCUGCGUUUCCUAAUUAGGUUACUCCACACCAAACUCCUUGGAGGGUGGAGUGAUAAGAGUUUUAACCUGCUACUAGAUCUACUAAAUGAUGCAUUACCUGAGGGUUCGAUGCUACCUAGAAACUUUCAUGAAGCUAAGAAAUUGGUGAAAUCGAUAGGAAUCGGAUACAAUAGUAUUCAUGCUUGUGAAAAUGACUGCAUUCUAUUUUGGAAGGAUAAAGAGGGGUUGGAUUCCUGUCCAAAAUGUAAGGCUUCUUGGUGGAAAUCAAUAAGGAAGGCCUAUGAUGGAAAACAUGUAUAUAAGGUUCCUAAAAAGGUUCUCCGCUACUUUCCAAUAAAGAAAUGUCUUCAACGCUUAUUUCUAUCAUCUAAAACAGCUAGUCUAGUGAGAUGGCAUGAUGAAGGCCGAAAAAAGGAUGGUCUACUUAGGCAUCCUGCAGAUUCUCUACUAUGGCAAGACUUUGAUAAGAAACAUCCAGAAUUUGCUAAAGAUAGCCGAAAUAUCCGUUUAGCAUUUGCCACUGAUGGUUUCAAUCCAUUUAGGACCAUGAAUGUUACUUAUAGUGUUUGGCCUGGUAUUUGUAUUCCCUACAACUUUCCACCUUCAAUGUGCAUGAAGAAAUCAAAUUUCAUCCUCUCUUUGUUGAUCCCUGGUCCAGAAGCUCCUGGAAGUGAUAUGGAUGUCUAUUAUCAGCCACUAGUUGAAGAUCUAUUAGAUUUGUUUACCAAGGGAGUUAGAACAUACGAUGCUUCGAAAGGGGAGUUUUUUCAGUUGAGGGCAGCAGUACUAUGGACUAUUACUGACUUCCCUGGUUUAGGCUAUGUGUCCGGGUCUGUCACAUCUGGUGAAGCUGGAUGUCCUGAUUGUCAUAGCUACACAUGUUCACUUAGGCUUGGGAAUGGUAGCAAGACUUGUUAUAUGGGUCAUCGCAGGUUCUUGCCUGAAAACCACCCAUUUAGGUUUGAUGCUAAUAAGUUUGAUGGUAAAACUGAAUUUAGGGCAGCACCUACUCCACUUUCUGGGGAGCAGAUUUUGGAGUGCACUAAAGACAUUAAUCAUAUUUUUGGUAAAGAUCCUUCUAGAAAGAAACCAGCAAGCAAGAGACGUAAGGAAGGAGAGCCAUUGGUCAUACUGAAAAGGAGAUGUAUAUGGUUUAAACUACCUUAUUGGAAAGAUUUGAUGUUGCGACAUAACUUUGACUUCAUGCACAUAGGAAAAAACGUGAGUGAAAGCUUAGUUAAUACAUUCCUAGGCACAGAAGGGAAAUCCAAGGAUAAUUUGAAUUCUCGUUUGGACCUUCAAGCUCUAGGUAUUAGAAGUGAUCUCCACCCUAUUGAAGUGGAUGGCCAACUUUAUUUACCACCAGCUCCAUACUCAAUGAGUCCCGAUGAGAAGAAAUUAUUCUGUCAAGUCCUGAAGGGGGUCAAGUUUCCUGAUGGAUACGCCUCUGAUAUACGUCAAAAUAUACAUGUUAGUGAGAGGAAGAUAUUUGGCCUUAAGAGUCACGAGAGCCACAUUAUUUUACAACACUUGCUUCCACUAGCUGUGAGAAAAAUAUUGCCUGAAACUGUGAGUGCUGCAGUGAUCCAUAUAUGUAAUUUUUUCAAGAAACUUUCCUCCCCUGUCAUUAGAAUAAGUGAUAUGGAAAAUUUAGAGGUUGAAAUAGCUGAAACAUUGAGCCUUCUUGAGACUAUAUUCCUUCCUAUCUUCUUUGACAUCAUGGUCCACUUGAUGGUUCAUCUUCCUGCCCAAGCAAAGAUACCUGGACCAGUUCAUUUUCGUAGUAUGUGGCCUGUGGAGAGGUAUCUGAUGAGACUGAAGGGUUCUGUUCGUACAAAAAGUCACCCUGAGGGAUCAAUGAUGGAGUGGUCUAAUUUUACAGAAUGCCUUACACUUUUUUCACGCUACUUACAUGAUGGGACUCAGACCACACCUCAGUUUGGAGAUGAAGAAUGUACCACAACUCCUUUCUUUGGUACCAUUGGUCGAGGAUUGGCCAGAAAGUGUUUAGUGAGUAUUGAUCACAAGACAUGGCUGCAAGCCCAUAGAUAUGUUUUGUUCAACUAUGACAGUAUACAACCUUACUUGGAGUAAGUUAUCUAGACCCAUUGUCACACUUUUCAUCACAUGGUUGGUUUUCUUUGCAUACUAAAGUGAUAAACUGAUGCACCUUGCAGCAAGCAUGCUCACUAUCUAUCAUCAAUUGGUCUUCGAAAUAGACGAGACAUCAAUUGCAUGCAUCAUGAAUCCUUUCAUGAGUGGUUUAGGCUGCAUGUAAGUAGUAAUAAAACCUAACACUAGUAAAUUUGGAUUUUGCAUGUAUAUUAAUUGUAAUUUCAAAAUCACAGGUGGAGGAAAUGGGAGAGGAAGCCCCUGAUGAGAUAAAAAUUUUAGCUAAGGGGCCUGCAAUGUUUGCACAUAAAUAUAGUAGUUAUAACAUAAAUGGAUUCAACAUUCACAUAGUUUCUUAUGAUGAGGGUAGACCUAUUCAAAGUAGUGGGGUUGCUCUAGUUGCUGAGUCCCCAAACUUUGAAAGUGGUAAUAAUGAUAGCCUGUUAGUAGGAAGCAAGACAUAUUUUGCUAUUAUAACUGAAAUUCUUGAACUGAACUAUCACCACAAAGGAAAUGUGGUGCUUUUCAAGUGUGAUUGGGUCGACAACCGUGUGCGAAACAAAUGGGUACAAACAGAUCAUUUUGGGAUCACAUCUGUGAAUUUUAAGCAUUUAUUCAAUACAGGUGAAAAGAUAUCCGAUGAGCCUUUCAUUUUAGCAACUCAAGCAACUCAAGUAUACUAUGUCCCUGAAGCAGUUGAUACUGAGUGGGUUGUUGUUGUUCAGUCAGUCCAAAGAGAUGUGUGUGACUUUGAUAACUUGGAGGAUGAUCACAUUGCUAAUCAUAAUGGCCUAGUGUACCUGCCUAAUAUAAAUGGCAAUGUGACUGUGGAUAUUAUUAAUGGGGUUGUCCCAUCUAUUAGAACAGACAUAGAUGGUAUUAUUGUUGCUAAAAAGAAUGAUAGAAAAGGUUCUAGAAAGUAAGUUUUCUAUGUAUAUUGUUGCUACAGACUCACAUAUUGUGUUUAUUGUUUUCCUCUGAGUAUUGCUAUGUUUUUUGUCCAUUCAUAGGAGGAAGCAUGCCGACAACUAGGAGAACCAGUAAGGAUGCCCCUGUCAAUCCUUAUGAGAAAUGUCGAAAUGAAACAAUUGCAGCGAACAACAGGAAGCUUCAAUCUCUAAAUCUGCCUCCUAUGCAGAACUUAGGACAAAAUGGUCAAUCUAGUAAAAGAACAAAGGUGUUAGACAAAAUCAUUGCAUAUUUCUGUUGCAUAUUGAUAACUUUUAUUUAUAGUGUUAUGUCCCUUUUUCUAUAGAGAACACACCAAUCAAAUGAUGCAGCAGCUGAUUUGCCCAAUCUGCGCCGGUCACAAAGACAGGCUGAAAUUGCAAGUCAGCAGAUUGAAGAAGAAGACCCUGAGUAUCAACCAAAUGGAGAUGAUUUAAUCAAUGAUGAAGGUCUUGUAUAGUGUUACAUGCUGCAUCACAAAUAUCGUUUCAUGUUACAUGUUUCUAAUUUAAAAUUGUUUACUACAGAUCAUCAUACUAUUUCACCAAAGAAGAGGAAAGCAAGAAGCAUCACAAGGAUGGAUAACUUGUUUGCAAGAACACCAAACAUGUCUAAGAUCCCAAUAAUGCUCAAUGAAUUUGCACAGCCUAUUGGAGAUUAUUAUAGACAAUUUUCUAGUGUUAUUGGUUGUCUAGUGAGAAAGAGUUUAUCUGUUGGUUGUUCAGACUCGAGGCAUGUUGAUAUUAACAAGAAAAACCAAGUGUGGGAAGCUUUAAAGGUAAUGCCCCUACCCUGUCCUCUUGACAUGUAUACUGAUUUGGCAUGAAGUGUGGGUGGUUCCAUCCCAAUCCUCUUUAGAUUAUUGUGUUAAGGACUGAUUUGGUGUGUUUUAUUCAUGAAACAUAGGAAAUCUAUGACAUUGAUGAGGCGGCCAAAAACUGGGUUCUGCUCACUGUUGCAAGGAAAUGGAAGGAAUUUAAGUCUACCUUGAAGGCAGAUUUUUUUAAUGAAAAUUUAACAAAUGAGCAACUGCAGCGAAAACAUGGUGAUAGAGUUAAAGAUGAUGACUGGAAGUUUCUGAUUAAGCAUUGGACCUCUCCUGAAUUUGAAGUGAGAUAAUUUUUAUCUAUGCAUAUUUGGACUUGUGUACUUCAAUAUAUUUGCAAAAUCUAACUGUUUGUAUCCUAGGCUCGAAGGGAAAUAUCGAAAGCUAAUCGUGCCAAGUUGGGGAUACAUCAUACCUCUAGAAGCAAGAGCUUUGCUGCUUAUAGGCAUGAAAUGGUAUAGAAGAUGCAUUGAAUUUUAGUGCAUUUAUUUUGCUGCCGUUAUAACACAGAAUUGAAACAAUUUCAGAGUGUACAGCUAGGGAGACCGGUUCGAAGAGAUGAAGUCUAUAUUAGAACACAUACAAGGAAAACUGGAGUUCCAACCCAACAAGCAGUGCCAAUAAUUGUAAGUUCUUUCAUAAUAGAAUUGUAGUCAGUAGCUGAAUUGAUCUUUCAUAACUGAUUUGAUAUUUGCAUAACAUCCAACUUCCUUUUUGUUAGAACAAACUUAAAUCAAUUGCUGAAGCCCACCCAGAGUUGACAGAAAGAUCAAUUCAACAAGGUGAUGUUCUUGCUGCUGCCUGUGGAGAAAAGGAGCCAAGAGGGCAUGUUCGGGCUUUGGGUCUAGGACCAACUCCCCAAGACAUUGGUACCCCUGGUUUGAGGUGCUACAAGUCAACAAGGCUACAAAUGGAAGUUCUAGCUCAUCACAAGGUUGAGAGUGACAAAGCCGCUCUUGAACGACGCAUACAAGAAUUGGAAGAGCAACUGCAGGAAAGAAGAAAUUUGGAAAUAAGCUCGUAGAAUUGUUCUAACUCACGGAGCCAUGUGGUAAAUGUCUUCUCCCGACUUAGAAUUACUUCAGUCUUGAUUAUUGAAUGUAUGUUAUACUGGAUAUUAAUGUGACAUGUUAUGACUUCUCUUGUCUUGUUUAUGUAGAGUCCAAGGUCUCAAGAACAUGUUGAUGAGGCACAAGCACAUGAUGGUCAAGCAUUUGAAGAUGAGGUUUUUCCAUAUAUUAAUGAUAACUCUGAACAAUCUGAUCAAGAAGAUUAUUUGCUUCUUCGUAGGCCUCCUGCUGCCCCAUCUACACAGCUUGGUAAUUUCCUAUCUACACAGCGUGCUGCUGCCUUAUCUGCACGUGCUUCUGCCCUACCUACACCUCAUGCUCCUACCCUAUCUGAUCAACAUACUCCUGCCCUCUCUGAGCGUGCUGCUACCUUGUCUGCAUUGCGUGGUCUUGCCUUAUCUGUGCAGCCUGCUACUGCCCCGUCCACGCAACAUGCUACUAACCUAUCCGCGCAGCCUGCUAAUGCCUCGUCCAUGCAGCGUGCUGCUGGCCAGUUCGCGCAGCGUGCUGCUGGCCUAUCCGCGCAGCAUCCUGCUGCCCUGUCCACGUCGACACAUCGUGCUGGUGGCUUGUCCACGCAACCUGCUCCUGCGCCAUCUUCGCAACGUGCUAGUGCCUCCUCUGUGCACAGUGUUGUGGGAGGAUCAAAGAAUCAACUUAUGGACUGCAGCGCUACCAGUCCCAUGAAGAAUGUAGUCCCAACAAGGAAGAAUAAAGGCCCUCGUGUUUCACCUGAUGAUCUUGUAAUUACUUCAAUCUAAUGGUGCUUUCAGUUCUAACAGUUCUAUAAAUGUGUUUAUUUUUUGCUGACAAGUCCAUAAACUAUUUGUGUAGGUUGGAAAGGAGGUCACAUUAUAUGCCAUGUUGCGACCAGAAAUUGUGGGUAAGGCGGUUGUUAUUUCAACAAAUCCAACCAAUGUACUAGGAGGCCAAGCUCUAGGAAGGCUAUUUUGUGAAGGUUGUGAUCAAAAGGGAUACAAUGCUACCUCGCCCUUAUGGUGGCAUUGAGACUUUGGCUGAUGCUAAGUCAAUGCCAGUUCAGUGGCCAUACAACAGGGUAAUAGACUAGACAAGACUUUGUUUCUUUUAUUCAUAUGUGGUAAGUUAAUAAAGUGUCUAAUUACUGAUAUUUCUUACAGUUGAAGGUUAGCAUGACAUCACAUUCAUCCCAGUCUACAGGUAUGUUUUUUUCCUCAACAUGACUUUCACCAAACUGCUAUUUGUGAGACUAAUAUAAGUUUAAUCUAGAGAUAUUUUUAAAAAAAAACUGCUCAUACUUGUGGUAUGUUGGUCUUGUAGGAGGGGAUGUCCAGAAAACGCACUGAAGCAGAUGGAGAUGUGACCUGAUCAUUUUGUGGUGACCUGAUCAUUUUGUGAGGUGGCAAAACAUCGAUGAUCCAUGUUGCUGUGUAUGGGAUGCCAUACCAUUUUGUAAAGUACUGCUUGCUCAUGGAUGUUGGUUCCUUUGUUGCAUGAUGUUAGAUUAUGAAAAGAACUCCAAGGACAUGCCUGUUAGUUGUGUUCUCACAUGAGCAUGUUAGUUGUAGUAUGCAAUGCAGACUUGUUAGUUGUGUUGUAACAUGGGCAUGUUAGUUGUGGUGUGUACAAGGCAAACUUAUGUCAUUGUUGCGAACAUCAUUGUACCCAUGGCUGUUAAAUGUGUCAUUUGUUUGGCAUGAAUGAAAUACUCCUAUGUUAUGACUUAUUCUAUGUCUGACAUUGAAUGUGAGCUUCUAUAUAUGUUUAAAAUGUCAAACAGUGAUGCAUUUGAUAAAGCAGGAUUGAAAAUAUGUAUUUGGCUCAUGUGAUCAUGGCGUUUGAUUAUUAGUUGGUAUAGUUCCUAUUAGCCUUGGUACUUUGGACGGUAUAACAUAUAUAUGCCAUCAGCACUUUGGUCGGUAUUUGUUCAUCGAAUAAUCAAACCAUCGGUCUCUAAAAACAUGUCGGUCGCUAUAGCCUAUACCGACACCAUAUUCAGCGUCAGCUAUUAAGUGUCGCCAUAGAUCUGUAGCGACCGAUGGGACGUCUCUAUAUCGAUAUAUAACGACCCAUCGUGCAACGUUACUCUUGGGCUGUGGUGUAGUGUAUCCCACCUUAUUCGCUCUCUACUUUUGGAUAGCCUACCUCACUAGCCAUCCUUUACAGAAUCUAUUGGAGGACUACUAUUUUUUAAUUAAAUCUAUUUUAGAAAGUAGCUAAAUCAGUAAAUUUGGGCUAGUCUUUUUGGCUAAUCUCUUGGAUCCGAGAGUCUUUCUAAAUCUCACUCUCUAAAUCAUCAUUUGGAGAGCUAUUUGCAUAAAAAUCGUUUUCUAUAUAUCUUUUCACUCUCCAACAGUUUUGCUAAAUCUCAUGCGCACUCUAGAUAGUCAUUUUUGUCUUCUAUAUUUGGCUAGCGAAUAAUCCAGAAUAAACAAUACCUAUAUGGAUGACCAUUGAGAGAAACUGUUGGAGGAUAGUUUUUCACUAAAACCUUUAUUCCUAACAUUUAGAAAGAAUAUAGAGAGUCUCUUGGAAAUACUCUUAGGGGUACAUAUAUGGUGAAAAUCUAGAGAAAAUCACUGUUUUCACAAAAUUUGAGGGGUGCAUUGCACCUCCUAAUUAAGCUUUGUUUAGUUCCACCCAAAAACCCAAAAUUUUUCAAGAUUCCCCGUCACAUAGAAUAUUUAGACGCAUGCAUGGAGUAUUAAAUAUAGACGAAAUAAAAACUAAUUACACAGUUUGGUCGAAAUUGAUGAGACGAAUCUUUUGAGCUCUAUAGUUGGAUAAUAAUUAUCACAAAUAAAUGAAAGUGCUACAGUGUCACGAAAAUUUUCCCUUCAGGAACUAAACAAGGCCUUACUACCUACCUUUGCCUCUAUAUACGGAUAUACCAAAUACUUGUCUCUCAAAGAACUCUGUUUUUGUCCAGGGUGACGCAGAGGAUGGAAAUGAUCGAGAGUAGACCCUUUUUUUUUGCGAGUGGUUGUCUGGUCGAUGCUUUGCCUAAAAUGUUCGCAAGAGCCAUUGGAAGGUGUCUAGAAGCUUUGUCAUGCACAGCUACAGCCCAAAUAUGAGUUUCUCAUAUACUAUACUAUAAUAUAUGAGGUUAGUAGGAGGGAACAUCAAAAGCCAUUAUUAGCCUGUUUUUAUUUCUUGAACAUAGUCAUUCGAUUAUGUUGCUGAUAUCGUGAUAUUUCCAAUUAAUCAGUGCCAACUUUCUCAUCCUUUCUGAAGUACAAUGAAAAGGACCACAUUCAUGUGAUCUUUUCAUCAGUUACGAGAGGUCUCUCCAGACAAACUCAGUGAUUAGUAGGCCAACAAUUUCAAAAUUUUGUAAGAAGGCUUAAUUAUUUUAUUUACAUUGGUAUAUUUUGUAAAACUGUAAACUCUCCUGCAAGAGCAACAAGAACUUGUGGGAAUACUGGUACAAAACUGAGGGUUAACAAUUUCUAACGCUAAAACAUAUGAAGUAAAUCCGCUACUUAAAUUCUAUGAAAAUUUACACUAUGUACAAAUUGUGCAGCAAAAAGAAUUAAAAAAAACGUCGACAGCAGGAUUCGAACCUGCGCAGGCAAAGCCCAACAGAUUUCGAGUCUGUCUCCUUAACCACUCGGACAUAUCGACGAUUCGUUGGGGUGCAGCAUUCCAGAACAUUUAUAAGAGAGUAUUAUUCCUCCGGAUCAUUCGGCUAUAUAUGCCAAUCACACCUACUCUGGAAGGUUGCCGCCAGUGAUUCCAAAGCGAACGUCCGUAAAAGUAGUGCUGUAACAAUAUCUAACCCCCAAAAGGCAACAAAACAAUGCCAACCAUGGUAUCGUAAAUUAAAAUAACAGAAUUUGGUCUUUAUUGAACUUCCUCAAGCUAUAAUCAAGUUUAAACAAACCCUGCCCAGCUUUGCUUGCCUUCGAGCACAUACUCGCCAAAUUCCACAUCAGAUAAGGCUGGUACAAAGGCAUCCACUGCUAACUGUAAUAAUAACUCAGACGAAAGGGGGGGGCAUAAAAUGUGACAUCAUCAUUUCUUCUGCUUGCUCGACACAUUCAGCUGCUGGAGGUUGAGCAGCAGGUCGUUGGAGUCCAGGAAC
rnacentral:lncRNA from 1 species